UAUUUUUAUCUGAAUGUUUACAAUAAUUGGUUGAGUGAAAAAAAAGUAUUUGUUGGCGCCUCAUUAUUUUCCAAAUCAAAAUUGAAGUGCGUAUCCUACAAUGUGGUGGGAUCCUCGAGAUUAUCAACUCUAAGUCGAAAUAUUCAAUUUCCUGACUCAAAUGGCAACGAUACUCGAUAUAGGGUAGAUGAAUCGAUUUUCACAGGGUAUUCACCCAACUUUUAUAUAAGUUGGUCAAGUACCUUCAGAACUCAAAUAUCUGCUUGAUUGAUAAAAUAUUCAAUUUGAAUAAGGGCCACUUUGACUGCCAAGUAUACCCAUCCGACGUUUAUUUUGUGUGGUUUUCUUGCAGCAAACCGGGAUCAUUUCCGGGGUGGCCACACAUUUUUAUUUUUUUUGCCAGAUUCGGUCCUGGUCGUCUUUUAUUCGUCUCAUGUACCCGACUGAUCAAGAUUAGUACUUACUUACUUGUUUCUCUUUUCCUUCUUUCUCUGGAAACCCGCAUUCUCGUGGUUUUAUUCCUGUCUUCGUUUCUAUCGGUGGUGUUUUCAUGGCGUUUUUUUUUAGCUGCGCCUGUUCUUAUUGUUGGGGUUAGACACGGCGUAACCCCAUCUGGGACGGCUCCCUUUACGGUAUCUCCCCUCGAAUUCUCGCUUGGCUCGUCGCUCGAAUCGUCUUUUCGCCGAUCGUCAGCUACCGCUCGCGUUCCCGAACCGGCAGAGCGCGGGUGCCUCGCUUCCCUCGGCGCCCGCCACCCCUAGACGGCUGCCGGAUGGGCAGAUUUGUACAGCGCGUUCCUCGCCGCCGCGGCGGUAUGCUGAUUCUGUUUCGUAUUUUCUCGCCACGCGGCCGCCGUUCGCGUGCCUUGAAUCUCUGGACGCGUUCCUCCAUUUCACCGUCGCGUUUCUCCCGAACCGCUCUAUUCUCCUUUCGCUCCCCCGGCGACCCGUCCACCACUCGCACGUGCCCCCUACGGCGCUCCUCGGCGCCCCGGCCGGGGAGGCGAACCCCGCGUGCCGGCUGACCGGAGCUGCUGCGACGCCGAGUGGUGAUAGUGUUCAUAUCUUUGAGGGACGUCCGUUGCCGGUUGUGAGUGUUAGUCUGAAGCUUUAGAUAUAUAAUCUUUGGGGUAUACUGGCUGUGUGAGUCGAGUCCGGAGCACAUCUUAUUGUCAGACACUCUACUCGGUUGUUUCCCAGGUCUUAUAUUAUCCAUCGGAGUCAGAUGAGAUAGAUGUAGUUAGGACCCAUAUGUGGUUCUUGUAGUUGGUUCUACUUAGCUAUUCCUGCAUUAGUCCGUGUAUGCCGCAUGUGUUGUGAGUGUGUGUGAGGGUUUCCUGUGAUUUUAGUGUGGAAAGCUCGCGGUUGAUCACCUAUGUGAACGUUUAUUCUGUGGCAUGUUCUCUGUAUCUGGUGAGCUGAGAGGUAGAUCUGUAUAUAGGUCGGGUCGUGGCUGUUUCCGCGAAUCGCAGCAUCUCUCUUUUGUUUUGGGAGUUCGUUUGGGGAAGGCUGCCGUCACCAGGUAGGGAGUUCUGAGGGAGUACCUGGAGUGAUUGGAUUCCGCGACUAGAGAACGAACUGGGUCGACUGGGGUUAGUCUUUAGAAUAUUACUCAGCAUGGACUUGUGACCGGAUUUUAUGCAUAUAUAACAGAUGAGUUGAUCUCAGGUUGGGAUCAGUUAUCGGUCAUCAAAUUACUGUGGUUUAGGACUGGUUUGAGUUCUGUUCAUCCCAGCUUGACGUUAUUAAGUCAGUAUUUGCAUAUGGUUGACGGAUGAUUGUCGAUGCUUCCGCGUGUCCAUCCUAGUUGACCCUGAGGGGUGCCGGUCGUGGUGUGCUUCUUACAAGUGGAACCUAUGGGGCGGGCAGAUAGGCUUCUGAUGGGGGGGGCAAUAAAAAAAGGAGGAUGUGAUCAGCUUGGGUUGCCCCGACCGGGUGAUCUUGACCAUAUUGCAAUGAAAUCACCCGAUAAUCAGUCGGCCAUUUCACGGAACACUGGGCGGCCUUUUCAAAAGGUCCACCGGCGAAGGACGUGUUACUUUUUCGAAACCAUCGCGUUGAUGGCCCCGAGGAUGACAACCAGGGUGUAGCCCUAGAGGCGUUAUAUGCAGGUGUAGGAGCGUGGUGGUUUGACUGUCGGGGGUGCUUGCGGUGCGGACUCCUAGGCAUGGCUUAGAGGUCUGCCGUUCUGCUGACGCAACGAAGCAUUGGUUUCACGAUUGUGGAAUUUACACAUGUACUUUUAGGACCCAUUUAUUCCGUGCUUGAUACGACCAUGACGGCAAUAUGUCCUAUAGUACGCAUCAUAUGCAUGCAUUUACUUAACACGUUCUUAUACUGUUUUAAUGUUCGUCUUGCUCCUAUUAUUUUAGACUGUUUCAUGAUUACGAUGCUUUAUCGUACAACGCUUCNNNNNNNNNNNNNNNNNNNNNNNNNUCGAAAUUAUUUCAGCGGUUGAUAUUAUCGCUCGUUCGAAUUUGGUCCGAAAAAGCUUGAAAACUCGAAAAUAUUAUAUAGGCUGGGGUACUUUAUAUGUUAUGAGUAUAGCCUUGUACUAUAAAUUUUUAACCGUUGAUUGAGGAUGGUAGUUAGGAUGAUUGGUGGUUCCCACAAUUAGAUAUGCAGAUGGUCCCUGGGUUGAGUGGGGUAGUUGGUUAAAUAGUAUUGUCUAACGGAUGAAAAUGAUUAUGAAAUAAAUCUUAAAGGGAUCGAAUACUUAUGAGUAUAAGGAGCAAUACUAUAAAAGAUAAUAUAGGAUCAUAUAUUAAUAAAUAAUAAAAUAAAAAAUAAAAAUUAAUACAAAAAAUAUAAAAAAUAUAAUAUAAAUAUAAUAAUAUAUAUAUAUAUAUAUAAAUUUUAAUGUAUUUUUAUUUAUUAUUAGGUUUAAUUUAAUUUGGGCAUUUAUUGUUGCAAAUAAAUAAACACAACAAGUACAAUCGAAAUCAAUUUGAGCCCAAUUCUAAAUUUACAUAAACACUAUUUUUCAGACUUUAAAUAUUGAACAAUAACCCAUAAUUAAAACAUUGAGAUAAUUAAAAUUUUUCAAAUCCUACUUUUUUUCUUCUUCUCAACAAGAACCUAUCUAGUCAGAGAAAUCACAAAUAGUACAUUUUUAUAUUGAUUUUGUUAUUUUUGCUAUUGGACAUGAUAUGUAUAAAAAAUUAUAGAUAAUGUUCUACCAAAAUAAUAACUAAUGUUAAUAUAGAUGUCGAGAAUUAAUCCAAUCGGAAUCUAGAUAAGAGUCUACGAGAUAAGCAUAGAACUCAGAAAUAUAGCUCGCUCAAGAGUCGGUUGAAUAAUUUCAAGCCAGAGCUGAGCUAGAUUUGUAGGCUACGAAAUAAUUUCAGACAGAAUAAAUUGAAAGCUAAUAAGACUCGCCAGAGCUAGCUAGUUCCACUACAUUUAAGGACCAGUUGUAAGAAUUGUCUCAAUAUUUUUAUUUCUAAUUAAAAACCAAAAAGGGUUGGAUAAAACUUUUUUGCCAAUAAAGGAUUGAAGAAAAUGCGAAUAAGAUUACAGGUACCUAGAGUUGCAAAGUUUAAUUGUAAAUAUUACAAUAUUAAUUAUCAGAUAGUAUCCAGAAUCUUGAAUUUUUGAAUAGAUUAUUUAUUUAAUGUCGAAUUAGCAUGUUUGGUUUUGAAUAAUGUAUGUAUGCUGAAUUGAAUUAUAUAAAUAUAUUAUAUAUAUACAUUACAGUUAUAAAAUUAAGUAAAUUUUGAACAAACCAAGUUAAUUAAUCCAAAAUAUUCUUAUAUUUGGCAAAAUUUUUUCUUGUUGUAUUACAAAUAAUAAUUUUUUUACUAAUUAUAUUUAAAAUAAUUUAAAUUUUAAAUUAACAUUUAAAUAUUUGAAAUUUUAAAUAUGAACUAAAAAAACGAUGAAAUAUUAAUAAUUUAAAAUUCAAAAUUUAAAAUUUAAAAUUUAAAAUAUAAAUAUAAAUAUAAAUAUAAAUUUUAAAUUUUAAAAUGUAAAUUUAAAAUUCAGAAUUUAAAAUCUAAAUUUGAAGUUUAAAGUUUAAAAUUCAAAAUUUAAAAUUUUAAUUUUAAAUUUAAAAUUUGAAAUUUGAAACAUAAACUUGAAAUUAAAAACUUUAAAAAUGUAAAAUUUAAAAUUUAGAAAUUAAAAUUUAAAAUUAGAAAUUUAAGAUUUAAAAUUUAAAAUGUAAGAUCUCAAAUUUAAAAUUUGAAAUUUAAAACUUAUAUUCUAAAAUCUAAAAUUUGAUAUUUAAAAUUUAAAAUUUAAAUUUUAAAUUUUAAAAAUAAAAAAUAAAAAUUUAAAUUUAAAUUUAAAAAUAAAAAAAUUAAUAAUUUAAAAUUUAAAUUAAAAUUUUAAAAAUGACGUAUUGAAAAGGUUUGGGAGUUCGUAGGGGGAUAAACUUAUAAUUUUACAAACAUACAAGAAAACCUGCCAUCAGUAAUACCAUGUUCUCACCCCCCACUCGGUAAUAUUUUCGGUGUAAAUGUGUAAUCUUGUAUAAUUUAUAAUGCUAAAUUACUGACUAGAUUACACAUUGAAUGAACCAAAUGUAAUAAACUUUGCAAAAUUACUUGUAAUUCUGUUAGCAUAACUCGAAUCAAACACACCCUAAAAGUAAAGAUAUAGCGAUAUCCCUUUACCAUAAGUAAUGCUAUAUAUACACACCAAUCAGGGUGUAUAUUUUACGUCUCACCCAUCUAAUAGAUGUGAUGAUUUUACUAGUCACUUGACGUGAGUAGCGAUUCAUUCCCACCCAUUAGAUGAGUGGAUUGUAACUUGUACGAGUAUCAUUUUUCUUUAACUAUUUGUUAGUUUGGAGCACGUUUCUCAACUUCAAUUUUAUUUUAAUUGACACCUCUUUUUAUUUUUUUUAUUUGAGUUAUUCUAGUCACUUUUAAGCUAUAUAUAUUUAAUUAAAUGUAAUAGCUCUAUUAACUAUUACUUGUUAAUUUAAACAAAUUCAUUAAAUUUAGGGUACCAUUUGAUUCAAAAUAGGAAUUAAAAUCGUAAAAUGAGAAUGGAUCGUAAUUGAAAACGAAAUGGUGACAAUUCCUAAUUUGUUUGAUUCAUAAUAACAAUUGGAAUCGGACUUAUAUUUAAAUUAAAAUUUAAAAAUUAAAUUUUAGUUAAAGUUUAACAAAUUAAAAUUUAAAAAUUAAAUUUUAGUUAAAGUUUAACAAAUUAAAAUUUAAAAAUUAAAUUUUAGUUAAAAUUUAAAUUUACUAUCAAGAUUUAAUAUUAAACAUCGAAUCUACAAUUCAAAUUCAAGUUCAAAGUCUAAAUUUAAAUUUAGAACCAAAUUUAAAUAUUAUAAUUGAAAUUUAAAACUAAAUUCAAACCCACAAUUCAAAUUCAGUUUUAAAAAUUAUAAUUUAUUUAUAAAAGUAGAUAUAUAUUAAUAUCUGAAUUUAAAUAAUUGUUGGUGAAAAAAAAAUUUGUUGCUCAAUUAUUUUCCAAAUCAAAAUUGAUUCGUACCUCAAUGGCGAGAAUCAUUAUGGAAAUAUUCAAUUUCCUGACCUCAAACAAAACUCCGAUAUAGAAAUGAAUCAUCCCAAAUAUUCAUUAUAAGGUUCAAGUCCUUCAAAUCAAAUAUGCUUAAUUGAUAAAAAUAUUCAAUUUAAAAAGGCCAAUUUGCAUAAAAAAUCCACUUAUUUUGGGCUUUUGCAAAACCGGGCCACAAUUUUCAUUUUUGCAGAUUCGGUCCGCUUUUUCGUCUGCCUGACCAAAAUACUCUUAUUACUUUUUCUCUUUCCUCUUUCUCUCUCCUCUCUGUUUCUAUCGUUCUGUUUUUUUUUCUCGCCGCGCUCGCCGUUCUCCCUCGAAUCCUCCUGCGUCGUCCCCAUCACCGUCGCGUUCCCGAACCGCACCCUCCUCGCUCCCCUCGGCGACCCGCACCCUGACCGCUCCACAGGCGCUCCUCCCGCCGCGCGGGCGUAUUCUGUUUUUUUCUAUCCGGCCUGUCGAGUCUAUCUCUAUCUCGCUGUCCGUCCCUAUCCUUCGCGUAUCCGAUACCCACAUCUCCCCGCCGGCGACCCGCACCCGUCGACGGCCCCCUACGCGCUUCCUUGCGCCGCGUGAGUUGCCGAGCACCCGCGCCGCGCGGAGACGCCUUGUAUAAGUCGAGUUGGCGGCGUUACGGCGUUGACAGGAGGUGCAUUCUGAUCGCACGGUGAUGGGACGGUCCAGAGUUGAUGGCGAAACGACGAGCCGCGGCUAGGAAAAAAAAUAAGACGAGCUAGAAUUUCACCAUUAACCGAUUACAUUGUCAACCAUUACCAUUACACUUUUACACCAUUAUAUUACACCAGUACACCAUUACCUUUUCACAUUACCCAUUACUAUUACAGUCAUUACACAUUUUACACCAUUACCAUUACACCUAUUAUUAACAUAUUACACCAUAACGAUUACCUCAUACACUAAUUACAUUGCCAAUUGACAUCCAUACUAUUACACCUAUUACCCAUUACAUUCUUAUACUAUUUCCCAUUACACCAUUACACUUACACAUUACACAUUACACAUUACACAUUUCGACUGUAGAAGAACACGCCGCGAUCUUUUUCAUUUCUUUUCUUUUUUCAUUUCUCUUCUUUUCCUCCUGCGGAGGACCUUCAUCUCCUUUCGAUUCACCUGAUGACGAGGGGCCCCUUCGCCGCCGCCUCGAGUGUGCGCACGGGCGGGUCGGCGAUGCUUCGUCGGACAGGAUGACGUUUAACACGCCUCAUCCUCGGCGGAGUCGCGUAACGACAAGCCCAGCAUCCCAUGUCUCGCUGCAAGUAAUUGUUCGAAUCUCGUCGGAUGGUGAGGGCUGCUCGGAGUGGUGCCCGCUGUUGACUCGGGUUUCGCCGCGACUGCAUCUGAUUUGUGACGAGCGCGAGCGGGCGACUGAGCGAGAAGUCGCAAGCUGGCCAGACUAUGCCCCAACCCAGUUCCUCAAGACGCUCAUUCUCCUCCACCAACGCUGUCGCUCCUCCUACGUUGGCGGCGGCGGCGGCGAAGGCGGUAGGGGUGGGGCCGAGGACGAGGAGGCGAGGGGGAGAGGGGGAGUCGGUCUAGGGCUGGGGUCCGCGGCGACGGGAUCGACGAAAGGAGGAGAAAAAAAAGAGGAGAGAGAAAAAUAUAAGGGUAUUUUGGUCAGUUUGCUGAAAAAGUGGACCGAAUCUGCAAAAACGAAAAAGGUGGCCCGGUUUUGCAAAAACCCAAAAUAAGUGGAUUUUUUAUGCAAAAAGGCCAUUUAAAAAAUCUAAAGUAAAAAAGAAGAAUAUUGAAUAGAGGGCCUAGUUGAGGAGGUCUAUUUAUAUUAGUUACUUUUUUAAAAAAAUUUUUCAGUUUUCGGCCCCAUGUGAAAAGUGAGGACUUUUAUAAAAAAUAAUCAUCUAAAAUUGUAUAAUUUGCGAAAUAACCAUAUCAAAUUCAGAUUUGGCAAACUAACUCUUGAAACACGGUGAAUCAUUCACCGCAUUCUAAAAGUCUCUAAGAUUUUUAAAGGCAGUGAAUCGUUCACCGCAUUCAUUUCGCAUUCAUUAAAACGGUGAAACGUCUUCUUCAUAAUUUUUUUAGGAAAGAGAAAAAAAUGAGGUUGUUAAAAUUGUACGUAUAUUGUACGUAUGUAAAUAAAAAAAAAAAGUAAGAUUGUUAGGAUUGUAUGUGAAAUAUUAGAAUAUUUGUUUGAUUGUGUUGAUGCCAAAAAAUCAACACGCCGACCUAACCCACGUAUAAGUCAAAGAAAUAAGGACACGUGAUACACCAAGAGUCGGCAAUAAAGCGCCUGAAGGUCAAGAGCGUUUAAAGGUUAAGAGCGUUUAGACGAGAACGAUUGAGAAGUGGGGCGUAACUUCCAAGAGAAGUGGGGCGUAACUUCCAUGAUCAUGACUACACCACUUCCCCCACUACUAUAACCAAUAACCAACCAAUAAUGUGGGCUGAUAAGAUAUUAUAAAUAAUAACUUUGAAGUCUAUAAUAAGGGUCUUUCUCUCCUCUCCUUUGAACGAGAAGACCACCGCAUUUUCAAUACUUUUCUUUCCUACAUUUAUUAUUUUCUAGGAGUAGUUUACAUGUAAUCUUUUUUACCGGCAUUUAUUGUUUUCUUAAAAGUAGUUUUUAAGUUAGAUCUUUGGUGCGUGUUUGGUUCAAAGUUGGAGUCGGAGUCAGAAUCGGAAUCAAAAUAAGCUGAAAUCGGAAUCGAAAUGACUCAUUACCAAAUUCUGUUUGGUUCAUCACCUGAAUCGGAAUCGGAAUAAAUCAUUCCCAUUGUCGAUAUUUGAUUCAGGUGGAUAUAAAAAACGUAAUCAAAUUAAUAUAUUAACAUUAUCUUUAUAAUAUAUUAAUUUAAAUUCAAAUUAAAAAUUAAAUAUUAAAAAUUUAUAUCAAAAUUUUGAAAUAAUGUCAAAAUUUUAAAUCUAUUUUUUUUAGAAAAAAAUUAAACUUUGAAGUUGAGUGGAUAAUUCAAAUUAUAAAACUAAAAUUUGAUUUAUUCAAAUUUAAACUAAAAUUACAAUUUAAAUUUUAAUUUGAAUCCAUAAAUUUAAUUUAAGUUUGAAAUAAAAUUUGAAUAAAACUUUAUAUAAAUUAAAAUUUAAUUUAAAUUCAAAUUCAUAAGUUAGAUUCGAAAUACUUGAUUAAAUUUUAAUUUUUAAUUUAAGUUCAAAUUAAAAUUUAAAAUUAUAUAUUUAAUUUUUAAAUUUUAACUCAUAUUGUAAUUAAAAAAGUUGAAAAAAUAAAUUUAAUCCGAAUAAAUAUCCAUUCCAUCCGGCCUCCUAGGCCGGAUUGAAAAAUGAGGUGAUUGGGGGAUUCUCAUUCCACUCGGGAAUCGUAAUCGGAAUGAGACCCCCGCGUAUCAAACACCUACAAACGGAUUCACCUAUUCCGAUUCCGAUUCCGAUUCUAUGAUGAAAAAAAAGCGAACCAAACACGCCCUUGGAGUCUAUAUGCCCCACGGGCACACUCUGUUAUAAUUUAGAUUUUCAGAGUCUGUAUGCCUUUUGGGCACACUCUGUUUUGUAUGAGUUUUCAACUUUAUUUUAAUAUAUAAAGGUAUUCGGCUCUUUCAGCCGACCAGUUAUUGUAUAUUCCAUCUAUUCGGCUUAUCAGCCGACCCAAAGUACUAUACUAUCCAUACUUCCGGCUCAUCCAGCCGAACCGUUUCUACAGUAGAGGAUUCGAACUCUACUGAUCCGAUCGCUCAUUAGCCGAAUCGCUUGAUCCAGUCGAAGGGCGCAAACUUUGAGGAUCACUAAUCGUAGCCGCUCCGCAUCCCUACACGCUUCUCAAGAAAGAUCUUUUACCUGGUCAAAGACAAAGGGAAUUCGGCCCCUGACAGAUUGUUAGGAUUAUAUGGAUAGAUUAUUAGGAUUUUUUUGAUUGUUAGGAUUGUAUAGAUAUAUUAUUAGAAUUUUCAAAGUUGUUAAGAUUAUAUGUGAUAUUUGAUUAUUAGGAUUAUAUAGAUAGAUUAUUAUGAUUUCUUUGAAUGUUAGGAUUGUAUGGAUAAAUUGUUAGAAUUUUCAGGUUGAUAAGAUUAUAUGUGAUUUGUUGAAAUAUUUAUGUGGUUGUUAGGAUUAUACAUAAAAUAUAAAAAUAAACAGUAAAUAAGAUGAAUGAUUUACAGUUUUUGUGAGAAAUUAUAAAAACGGUGAAUUAUUUAUCGUCUUUUUGAAGACGGUGAAUCAUUCAUUAUGAAAAUAGCUCCCUUAAAAAAAAAAGGAUUAUUUUUCAAAUAUAAUUUUGGCCGAAUUAUACUGCAAAUAAUAAAAUUUUAGAGGCUAUUUUAUAAAAAAAAGUCUGAAAAGUGGAAAUGAGUACGUAGCUCUUGAAAUAAACGAAAAAGGUAAAGCUUGGGCGCCAAGUUUGCCCACCAGAAUAAGGAUAGAGCUGACACUACACAACUUGGCGAGAUGCAAAAUUAACCGUCAGAUCAGUAUUACGUACAAUUGGUAAUUUUUCUUUUCAAAAUUGAAAAUAAUUUUUAAAAAACAAAACAGAAAAUUUUUUUGAAGCAGAUAUUUGGAAAAUGAGAAUCGGCUGUGAUCUCGGCAGGGGGUGAUCAACAAAAUUACCGGUUCCCUACUUUAUAUUUUUGCUCUAAAUAUAAUCACCGAGUGCGCAUUAAUUACUUUAACACUUCCACAACUUUUCAUCUCUUUCUUUUUUCUUUUUUUUUUUUUUUAUUUUUUUUGUGUGUUUUGUACGCUUCUCUCUCUCUUUGAAAGGAGGCAUGUUCUCCGCGUCGCGCUCUUUCGUCUCGUCUCUUUCCUCCUCCCUCCGUCCUCGUGUGCUGAUGAGUACGAGACGCUUAGCAUCUUCUCCUCCUCCGCCGCCGCUUCCGGAAACGCGCUUCGCCCCGAAGAAGGCGAUUCGCGCGAUGAGCCUGAGCAAGUUCGUCGCCCACCAAACCGCGUUCGCCUUGCGCCUCGCGCAGCGCGUGGCCGCCGCCGAGGCGAAGGAGGGCGCCAACGUCGCGUUCUCGCCGCUCUCCCUCCACGCGCUCCUCAGCCUCGCCGCGGCGGGGACGCGGGGCCCCGCCCUCGACGAGCUCCUCGCCGUGCUCACCCCCGCGGGCGGCGCCGGCGGCGCCACCGCUGACGACGUCGCCGCCCUCGCCGCCCGCGUCGUCGGCCGCGUCCUCGCCGACGCCUCCGCCGGCGGUGGGCCCCGCGUCUCCUUCGCGAACGGGGUGUGGGUCGACGCCUCCCUCUCCCUCAAGGCCGCGUUCGCGGAGAUCGCCGCCUCCGCUUACAAGGCGGAGAUCCAAUCCGUCGAUUUCCAAACCAAGGUUCGAAUCCUCGCUUUUUUUUUUUUCCUUUUUCUUUUUCUUUUUCUUUUUGUUGUUCGUUUAUCGAGUUAUUAGGGUUUUUGUGGGGUUUUAGCUUGAAUAUGCAUGUCUUAGGGGGCUUGGAUCAACCUAAAAGAUUGUUAGUCUCGUAGGUAGAGAUAUGGUGACAACCAUAUAUGGUGUCUAUUUUAACAUGCCCCCCUAACAAAGUCGAAUUGAAUCUUAACUGAAUCUAGGUUGAAAUAGAAGCAGAAGAAACUAGAUUAGAAAUGGAAAAGGUUCUGAUGCUAUAUCAAAUCGCAAUCGCAAUCGCAGAGACCAAUCCAACAGCUUAAGUUCGCAGUGAACAAACCACUCUGACGUUGUGAAGAAGAUUCUAAGUUUUUGUUUUUAGUAUUCUAGAAUUUGAGUCAGCUGAACACUGGUGAAUAUGUCUCUCGUCCAGUUUUGUUAUAUAUCUUGCUAUAAAAUUCUCACUUCAUUCCAUGCAUGCUAAUUUUUCUCUAACUGAGCUUUUUCUUUCUUUCUUUCAUUUUUAUCCUUUAGCCGCCCCUCUAGUUAUCUAUCCUGAAUUUGGAAUGAUAAGGAAUUAGGGAUUCUGGGUAUUGAUUAAGCUGGAAUUAUAUUGAUUUUUUUGUUAGUCUCGGUUUUGCAAAUCAACUUCAAUAAAUAAUACUUAUCUAAUUUUUUAAAAGACAAAAAUAUUUCUUCUGCUGCUAAUUUUACUUAUCAGCGAAAUUGUUGACAGGUAAACCAGUGUUGCAGAUUCGGUUUUUUCUCCCUUUGUUUUAAGCCAAUCUUAACGCUGCUGUAUUUGUUUAUUAACUUUUUUCCUUUCCUAUUGAUUUAGGCUGGUGAAAUUAUCGAUCAAAUUAACUCAUGGGUUAGUUCGGCAACAAAUGGUCUUAUAAAGAGUAUGAUUUCCGGCAGAGCUAUCAACCAAUUCACUAGGGUGGUGCUCGGUAAUGCUAUUUACUUUAAAGGGGCUUGGGCUGAUAGAUUCGACGCAUCAGGAACGGAAGAUGGUGAGUUCCACUUGCUCAAUGGAAAUUCUGUGCGAGUGCCCUUCAUGACGAAUCCGGAAAUGCAGUUCAUGUCUUCAUACGAUGACUUCAAAGUGCUUAGGCUUCCGUAUAGAAAAGGGAAUGAUAGGAGACAAUUUUCCAUGUAUAUUUUCCUGCCCGACGAUCGAGAUGGGCUAUGGAGUUUAAUUGAUAAGUUGAGUUCCGAUCCCGAGUUCCUAAACCGCCAUCUCCCAAAGCGGGAGGUCAAAUUGGGAGAGUUCAGGAUUCCCAAAUUCAAAAUAUCUUGCGGGUUGGAUGCACCUCGACUUCUAGAAGAGAUGGGAGUACAUUUGCUCUUCUGUGGGGACGGGGGCCUGACUGAAAUAGCCGAUUCACCCAUCACCGGCGGAACAUCGAUUUUGCACAAAUCUUUCAUCGAAGUUAAUGAGGAAGGAACCGAAGCAGCUGCCGCUUCUUUCAUGAUGCUUGGGGCUUGUUUCUGGGCGCCUCCUCCGGACUUCGUUGCUGAUCACCCUUUCUUUUUCUUGAUCAGGGAGGACACAACCGAAGCGGUGCUAUUCAUGGGCCACGUGCUCGAUCCCUCAGUGGUCGCGUAAAUAAUGAAUCCGUUCUCAGGCAUUUGGUAGUUUAUUCCAUCUUUUGUUUUUUUUCUCCCCUGAAUCAACUCUUUGGAGUCCAAAAAAAAAAAAUGUAUGCGAGACGCUUUAAGUGCAACUUUAUAGGUGUGUUUUUACAGUCGUUUGUGAGUGGUAAGGAAUAUUUCUCUUUGGUGCUGCUGGCGUUACUGUUUUGAUUAUUAUUAGAGCGCGUUUGAUUAUCCGAAAGUGGCAGAAGUGAUUUUUUUUUUUUUUUUUUUUUCAAUUCCAUUAUUUGGUUAGCUAUAAAGUGAAACAUGAAAACUAUAAUUUUAUAAUUUUGAUUCUUUAAACAAAUAACUUAUACUUACAAUUUAAAUUAAAAAUUUAAAUUUAGAAUUUAAAAUUUUAUUCUUAAAAUUAAAUUUAAACUUAAACUGAGUUGAAUUUAUAAAUAAAAUUUAAGAACAUUUAUUCAAAUUUUAAUUCAUAAUUUAAAUUUAUAAUUUGAGUCUUAGUUUAAUUUACUUUUUAAUCUCAAAAAAUUUUGUAUUCAAAUAUGAAUUCACAAAUUAAAAUUUGAGUUUAAAUCACAAGAAUUGAAUAUUUGAAUUCAUAAUUCAAAUUCAAAGUUCAAGCUGCGAUCAAUAUUGAAAUUAAAUAUAAAUAGCAAAUUUUAAUUUUAAUUUCCACUUAAAAAUAAAAUUUUAAAUUUAAAUUUCAGUCAAUAAUCUAAAUUUAUAAUUAGAACAAUUUGAAUUCAAUGUUCAAAUUGAAGUUUUUAGCAGAAAAUAAUCUGAUUAAAAUUUAAAUUUUAAAUUAAAUUUAAAUUAUAGAAUUCAAAUUUGAAUUAAAAAUAAAUAUUUAAAUAUUUAAAUUUAAAUAUAAAGUCAUAAAUUUGAAAUUAAAAAUUUUAUGUUGAAUUUGAAUUUACAAAUAAAUUCAGAAUGUGAUCUAAAUUUAAAUUCUAGAAUUCAAAUUUAAAUAAAAAUAAAAAUUUAAAUAUUUAAAUUUAAAUAUAAAGUCACAAAUUUGAAUUUAAAAAGUUUUUUGUUAAAUUUGAAUUUACAAAUAAAGUUUAGAAUGCGAUCAUGAUUUUAAUUCAAAUUUAAAGUAAAAUUCAUAUUUAAAAUAAAAUUCAAAGAUUAACGUUAAGACCAAAUACAUUCUUUUAGCUAAACUUUCUAAUUUCGGUGACUUUUGAUGUCACGCCCCGGAUUGCACGAAGCAAUAGCUGUACCUGUAAACAAAACCAAGCUACAACCACAAGUAUGGAGCUGCUAAGCAAAACAAAUAUAUAUAAAACAUCAUGACUAUAGUACAUACAAAAGCUACGAACCAGCAACUAACAUCUCGCUCCAGUGAGUAACUAAACAAAGAGCAUGUACAUGUACAACACUCAUAACUACCUCUGAAGGGGCACUCCGCUAGCACGACGACUGAGAUUGAUAGGGAUCUAGCUCGCAACUCCCUUAUCAUGAUCAGUAUUAGCAACAGCAGCAGCCGUAGACGAAGGCUCUGCAAAAAGAGAUCAACAACUUGGUGUGAGAAUUACUACAAAAGAAAUAGUCCUCAAUGGGUAGCGCUACCGACCUCAACGGCUCACCCACUAAGUCUACAGAAAAUAUGCUCAAGGAUAGUAAAGGAAGCUGGAAAAACUCUACAGCUACAUGCCACUAUACUAUUGCUAACCAACACUAGCUAUCUAUAGAUAUAGGCAAGAUGCAAUCUCUGACCCAAUCUCACUAGGAACUGUGAAUACACCCGUCCCGCCUGUCGAAGCUACACCAACUACCACCACGCUGGGUUGUUGGUGGCGAGCAAGUCCAACUUAGACAUUACGUCAACAACGCAAAAGCACUAAGCCCGACUCCAGAGCGGCACUCGUGGGCGCUACCCAACUGAGUAUGCAAGCGUGUUUCUGCCAAGUUCAAUCAGGCUCUCACAGGCUAUAAUCAAAACAAAUAGGUUUAACUGGUCUACAACCAAAACUCACGUGCCCUUGACAAUAUCUGAUGCAAAUACAGAAAUCUGGGUCCACCGUCAACCGCGACGGCACUUGACAGUCCGAAACAAUCUACACACUAUUGUAAAAUAAGCUCGACAUCCCAGCACGAGCGUGAAUUCAUCCUACACUAAUUUGAGUAUCCAUUGCAUACUAACAAUGAUGAUACAAUAGAACCACAGAUCCUAAAGCUAAAUCUGGUAAUUUUCAGAAAUGACAGUGUAGGUUCUAAAUAUUUUCUCCUAAGUCAAUUCCAAGUCCAACAUGUAAAAUUAAACUACUAGCUUAACUCCAAAUUCAGAUUUAAACACUAAUCCAUGAAUUUGAUACUAGCAAGAAAAAUAGACGGAUAAUACAUGUCGACAAAUACUAAAACUUAGAAGAUAUUCCGACGAUUUCGGUAAACUUCAACCCACCUUAAAAUGCUCGUCCAACAACGGCGAGAAGUCGAAAGGAGAGGAAAUCCCGCGCUCGCCCGACCUCCAACGGCGCUACCACGACGCACGCACGCUCGAACGGCUCUCCGGCGCAACGUCGACAUCGAUCCGAGCUCUAACCGUGGCCUCCACCAAGCACAUAACUAAAGCUAGAGAGAGAGAGGAAAAUGAUAAUUAAGCUCCUUCAUUGCCUCUCUAUCCUAAUUAAAGCGGUGGGGAUAAAAUUGAAAGGAUCGAGACAACAAAAGACCAAAAGGCCCCUCACCUACUCAAACAUCCAGUUGGAGUACCGGUACCAGCCCGAUGCCGUACCGGUACUCAGCAUCAAUUAUCGCAACCCGAGAGCAGCAGUUCGAAAAUUACACUGGGGUAUCGGUACUCCCCUACGUGGUACUGGUACUCAAUACUGAAAAUCUGCACUUUGCCGAUUUCAAUGCCAAAACUCUGUUAUCGCGUCGCGCUGAGUUCGUUUUGUGUCCAUUUCGUGCCAAAACGACUCGGACUUGUCCCGACACUCUCCAGAUAUGUCGACAAGUCUCUGCUCCUUUCUCCACAAUCAAUGCCCGAUUCACCACCUCCCUAUAAGUCGAUGGGUUUGACGCCUGAACCAACCUGAAAAUCGUAGGUCGCAAACCUACCUCGAAAAUACGGGCCUUAUCCCCAUCAUCCCUAACCACGAAAGGAACACAAUGUAGUAGUUGAGAAAACUAUCGUUCAUACUCAACCACUGUCCUAUCCUCCUGCCUCCAAUUUCUCAGAUCCCUCUCUAUCUGUCUCUUUACACUCUGUGGAAAGUAAGUUGUCAACAGUAAUUCCUUAAACCUCUUCCAAGUGAUCAUAGAUAAAUCAGUAUAGGGAUCCUCGCGAAUAUCUAACAACCACCUGUAAGCCUCGCCAUCCAUAUGGUGUGUCGCAAACCAGACUCGGUCUCGCUCCUCUACAAAGGAAUCGUAAAAUAACUUCUCCAUAUGCAUCAGCCACUUUUCGACUAUCCAGUGAUCAGCUUUUUCACCGUCAAAUACACGAGGAUUGCAACGGCGAAAUUCAUUCAGUCGCUCCAUCAUCUGCUCUCGCUCCUCGGCCCUUACCAUCUCUGGUAGCAUUGCCCCUGUCGCAGCCACAGGCACUGGCGGUGGUACUACUGCCUUCUGCCGGGCCUCUACCCUCGGGGCUGCAUGUGAAGUAUCUGGUGCUGAUGGAUGUGCUCCUGCAGUCGUAUCCCUCUUUGGUACUGCUGGCGUAGGAUCUGGAACCUUUCUAUCCGUCGUCUACCGCAGUAGCAAAUCCUCCAACCUCUUCAUUCUUUUCUCUUGUCGGCGUGCGACAUCCAUCUGCUGUCGGGCUGCCGUUGGCUGUUGUGUCACUAAAUCUGUAAACACUGCAAGCUGAUCUUGCAGCUCACGAACCUCACUCGAUCCAGAGGUAGCAGUAGUCUCCACUUCCUCUGCAUCAGCGGCUUCAGCCGCUCCAGCUGCCAUAGAACGAGUCGUAGGCAUCUUAAUUGGAACAAAACAAACAUGGAUUAAUAACACUUACACUAUUAACCUCCACUUCAUAUAUUAACCACCCAUUUAAACGAAAGUAAUGAAAUGUAACAUAUACUAACUUUAGAUGUCACGUUGUCGGCCGCCAACAUGUCCCUCUGCAAAGUCAGCAAUUGUACGUUUCAAUCAAACUCCUACCAUUCGGAGUUUAUAAUUUACCCAAUAAAAAUACUUUCGCUAAAACUUAACUAGACCUCGUCUCUCAUGAACCUAUUUUUAUAAUCCAACCAGCCUAAGAUUCGCUAGGUCCACUAAGACUCAACCCUAGGCUCUGAUACCAUUAUAAUCUGUCACACCCGAGUAUCAGUGGAAGCCUACCCGGUACAUGUACAGAUCCGCCAUACACCUGCAGUAUAUAAGGCAUUUACAAAGAAGCAUGUCGAAAAAGAGAAAACAUAGAAGAAUUCUAACCUGAUAUCAAAGCAAAGUAUAAGUCGAUAAUACAACCAUCAGAAAACAGUAAGUAUAAACAGCUCAGAUUCUCAAUUCCACAGGAAAACACCAAAACUGUAAUCUCUGAUUCAAAUCACAUAUACAUCACAGGGUACACAAAAUAUAUGUACAAUGGUAGUCUUUCUAUAUACGGGGACAUCACCCUUGGCCGUAGCCCGAGUAGCAAGGUGAUCAUCUAGUCAAGCUCCAAGCUAUAUCUAGUUAGACGCGACUCCCUUGCCACGAUCCCUAGCCUCUCCUGUUGAUGGCUCUGUAAAAACAACAAUAAAAAGGGCGUGAGAACUAUUCAACAAUAGUUUCCAGUGGGUAAGCCGCCAGCCUCGGCGAAUUACACCACUAGGCUCAUGAUGAUAUACUAAAGAAAAUGUAAGCACAGUUAUAACAUGUAAGUUUUAUCAACAAUAAAGAACUAUGAAAUUGUGUCAUGCUGUCAGAUAUAUUUAUCAAGUAAAACGGGUAAGGUAAUCGCAAUGUACUUGAAUAUAUCAAGUAGAGAUGUAAUUGUAUACUACUCAAUGAUAAUCACCUGUUGUUAUCAUUUAAUAUAUAUUGAUUUAAUUUAUAAGGACCUAUUCAAGGUAGUCAAGCUUGUGCCGCGCCUAAUGGCCCCGUGGUAGUAUACACUCUCCACGGCAAUCCAUUUCGGCACCCAAUCCCGCACGGGCGAGCAAUCUAUCGUGUAGGCCAACUCCGGAGUGCCGGCUUGUGGGGAGCGACCCUCACAAGCAUGUGCGAAUGAGCACAAUGGCCAGCAAACAUAAUUAAUAGUUUAACAAUUCUCAAUUGUCAUGUCUAAACAUAUAAGAUUCUUACUCUCGACCUUUAGGUCAGAUUUCAACAUAGCAGGUUAGUAUCCACCAGAUUAAAUGAUUAGGCAAAGAACUAUAAAAUUACAUAUGUCACUUGCAUCAACUACUAGUCAAUGACAAUGCAUGAACAUACUAUUAACCGAGACAUAAAUUGAUCACCUCAUCAUUUAUUGCUUAUGCAUUUAAAAUGAAUAAGAAGGCAAUCAUUCAUGAUUCACGUAGUUACGCCUAAUUCAUAGUUAUAUAGCAUCAUAUAGAACAUAGAAGGAAUCCACUUGCUCUGGUGAGGUCAAACCCACCUACUAAACGAUGCCUCUUGUCAAUCUCACACGGUGAGCAAUUCAAGCAUCCAGGUUCCUAAUUCAUGAGUCAAAAUCAGCUACAAGCUGAAUUAGAUAUCUAUAGCAAAAUCUCACCUAUUCAUCGAAUAGGUAGUAAUUACUUACCUAAGUUAAAAGGGAGAUUAAAUCCACUCUCCAAUGUAUGUAGAAGCUCCCCAAAACUCAGCUCAAACCUGCUCAAAUGAGUCCCGAAUUCAGCUCAACCAGGUCUUAACCCUGCUGCGAUUUACUUAUAAAACUGCAUCGAAAUUUAUAUCAAAACAUUCAUUUUCAGCAACAUUUUCCCUUAUACCCGGUCACAGCUUACACCCUUGUUUUGGUUCAGGUUAGCACGCUCAAUUCCAUCUCCGAAGGCUCUCAAUAUAUAGCCGAAAGUUAUCCAUUACCCUGUUAUAAAUCUGCUGCGUAUUAGCUUCAAAACUGCAUCAACAUCAUUACUAGAACACUCUAAUUCAACCUAAUUCUCACCUAGGUUCAGCGCAGUGUUAAUCCUCCACCUCGACUCCGGUUACACAUCUUAAUUCGGCUCAUAACCAUUCUUCAAAUCAGCUCUAAAUGGAUAACAUACAGCUGAGAGCAUCAGCCCAAAAUCAGCAUCUCUACUCUAUCUUUACAUCAUAAAUAUGAUAAAUAUAAGAUAGAUAAGGAACUACUCACAUUCUCCAAGUUCAAUUCAGCUUUCUAGGAAAUUAUAGUAGAAAAUUUCAGGAGUUAAACCCUUCUCUAGCUGUCUUGUGGCUUCUCCCAAUUCAGCUAACAAAACAAAGAACCAAAUCCUACUUAACUCCAUCAUUAAGCCUCAAACUAAAUAGUAAUUAAGUAAUAUUACCUUUCCAAAACCUCAACCAGCUAUAAGAGUGUGCAAGGUCACGAAAUACCCCUUAAUACUCCUCAUUCUUUUACCCACAGCAACUCCAAAACAGUCCCUGCCAGUAAACAUCAAGCAAAGAGAUGAAUCAAGCUUAAACCCUUGAUUCCUUAUAGAGAUAGAAAAAUUUCCUAGAGAGAGAGAAAAGGAAACCUUCAAACCCACUUUGCUGAGCUCAAGGAUGCUUAUCCAAGUUGCAGGGGUCGAGCUGGGGUUAAAAGGGAUAAGCUUGAUGAGUAAAAAGACCAAAAAGGGCUUGCUGCCACGCAACUGCUGUCUCUACUGCUUGCUGUACCGGUACAGACUAAGGGUUGUACCGGUACACCAAUGUAGAAAAUGCAAAUCUCAAGAUUGCAAUGCACUUUCUCGCUUCCCACAUUCCGAUCACUCUCAAACUUAUUCAUAAUUAUCUUUAAACCCUUUACAACAUAUGGAAAGGUUCCAAAUAUCAUUCACCUUACUCGAAUUUCGCAAUUUGCUAAAGUUCAAUUUACUACAAUAAUUAAAAUUUAAAAAUAAAACUCAAACCCACAAUUCAAAUUCAAUUUUAAAAAUAUAAUUUAUUUUAAAAAAAUAUAUAGAUUAAUAUCUGAAUUUAAAUUAUUGUUAGUGAAAAAAAAAUUCGUUUCUCAAUUCUUUUCCAAAUCAAAAUUGAUUCGUACCUCAAUGGUGAGAAUCAUUAUGGAAAUAUUCGAUUUCCUGGCCUCAAAUAAAACUCCAAUAUAGAAAUGAAUCAAUCCAAAUAUUCAUUACAAGGUUCAAAUCCUUCAAAUCAAACAUGCCGCCCUUAAUAUUCAAUUUAAACAAUGUAAAAUAAAACGAAGAUAUUAAUUAUAGAAUGUUGUGUUGAAUUAAAAGGGGCUAGUUCAGGAGUCCUAUUUAUAUUAGUUACUUUUUCUUUAUUUUCACUUUCUGGUUGGCUCGUGUAUGAAGAGUUUUUUUUUUUUUUUUUUUUUUUUUUUUUUUUUUUUUGAGGGAGAGAUAGGUAGCACGCUGUCCGCUUCAUUUAUUUCAUUUAGAAAUAAACUUAGCCGGAAAUGUGAUUCAAUUAGAAUUCAAAUUUGGAAUCUCGGUACCAACCAUCAAAUCUUUGCCACUUACUCAAGAGACGGUCAGUCUCUUAUAUAAAGAGUUGACAUGAGUUCGUAGUUCUUACAACAAAUAAUACGGUGAAAGUUUGGGCCUCAAGUUUUGCCUGCUAAAAUAAGGAUACAAUUGAAACUACACAACUUGGUGAUGCAAAAUCAACCGUGAGAUUAGUAUUACAUACAAUUGGCAAUUUUAUUCUCAAAGUUCAAAAUAAAGUUUUUUUUUUUUUUUGAAAAACAAGGGGAAAAUUUUGAAGCAGAUAUUUGGGAAACGAGAAUCCCUGUUAUCUCGGCCGGUUGUUGACAAAAUUACCGGCCCCCUGCUUUGUAUUUAUGCUCUAAACAUAAUUAAUUACUUUAACCCUUUCCGCAACUUUUCAUCUCCUUCAUAUUAUUAUUAUUAUUUUUUUUUUUCUUGUGUGUUUUGGACCCCACUCUCUUUGAAAGGAGGAAUGUUCCCCGCGUCGCGCUCUUUCCUCUCGUCUCUUUCCUCCUCCCUCCGUCCUCGUGCGCUGGUAAGUAAGAGAUGCUUAGCAUCUUCUCCUCCUCCGCCGCCGCUUCCGGAAACGCGCUUCGCCCCGAAGAAGGCGAUUCGCGCGAUGAGCCUGAGCGACUCCGUCGCCCACCAAACCGCGUUCGCCCUGCGCCUCGCGCCGCGCGUGGCCGCCGCCGCGGCGGAUGAGGGCGCCAACGUCGUGUUCUCGCCGCUCUCCCUCCACGCGCUCCUCAGCCUCGCGGCGGCGGGGACGCGGGGCCCCGCCCUCGACGAGCUCCUCGCCGUGCUCGCCCCCGCGGGCGGCGGCUGCGGCGCCACCGCGGACGACGUUGCCGCCCUCGCCGCCCACGUCGUCGGCCGCGUCCUCGCCGGCGCCUCCGCCGGCGGUGGGCCCCGCGUCUCCUUCGCGAACGGGGUGUGGGUCGACGCCUCCCUCUCCCUCAAGGCCGCGUUCGCAGAGAUCGCCGCCUCUGCUUACAAGGCGGAGAUCCAAUCCGUCGAUUUCCAAACCAAGGUUUGAAUCCAUGCUCUAUGAUUUUUCUUCUUUUUUCCCUUUUCCUUUUCCUUUUUCUUUUUCUUUUUCUUUUCGUUGUUCGUUUAUCGAGUUAUUAGGGUUUAAGCUUGAAUAUGCAUGUCUUGGGGGGCUCGGAUCAAUCUAAAAGAUUAUUAGUCUCGCAGGUAGAGAAAUGGUGAGAACCAUAUCUGGUGCCUAUUUUAACAUGCCAAUGCCAACAAAAUCGAAUUGAAUCUUAACUGAAUCGAGGUUGAAAUAGAAGCAGAAGAAACUAGAUUAGAUUAGAAAUGGUUCUGAUACUAUAUCCAAUCGCAAUCGCAGAGACCAACCCAACAGCUUAAAGUUCGCAGUGAAUAAACGCCUAAUUUUUUUUGUUUUUAGUAUUCUAGAAUUUGAGGCAGCUGAGCACUGGUGAAUAUGUUUCUCUUCCAGUUUUGGUUAUUCUAUGUCAUUUGUGUUUGUUUAUCAGUUUUUUUUUUUCUAUUGAUUUAGGAUGAUGAAAUUACCGAUCAAAUUAACUCAUGGGUUAGUUCAGCAACAAAUGGUCUUAUAAAAAAUAUGAUUCCCGAUGGAGCUAUCGAUCAAUUAACUAGGGUGGUGCUCGGUAAUGCUAUUUACUUUAAAGGGGCUUGGGCUGAUAAAUUCGACGCAUCAGGAACGGAAGACGGUGAGUUCCACUUGCUCAACGGAAAUUCUGUACUAGUGCCCUUCAUGACGAAUCGGGAAACGCAGUUCCUGUCUUCAUACGAUGACUUCAAAGUGCUCAGGCUUCCCUAUAGAAAAGGGGAUGAUCGGAGACAAUUUUCCAUGUAUAUUUUCCUGCCCGACGAUCGAGAUGGGCUAUGGAAUUUAAUUGAUAAGUUGAGUUCCGAACCCGAAUUCCUAAACCGCCAUCUCCCUAAGCGGGAGGUCAAAUUGGGAGAGUUCAGGAUCCCCAAAUUCAAAAUAUCUUACGGGUUGGAUGCAUCUCGAGUUCUGAAAGAGAUGGGAGUACAUAUGCUCUUCUGUGGGGAUGGGGGCCUGACUGAAAUAGCCGAUUCACCCAUCGCCGACGGAACAUCGAUUUUGCACAAAUCUUUCGUCGAAGUUAAUGAGGAAGGAACGGAAGCAGCUGCCGCUUCUUUCAGGAUGCUUAGGGGUUGUUGCAGGGCGCCUCCUCCUCCUCCGGACUUCGUUGCUGAUCACCCUUUCUUUUUCUUGAUCAGGGAGGACACAACCGAAGCGGUGUUGUUCAUGGGCCACGUGCUCGAUCCCUCUGUGGCCGCGUAAAUAAUGAAUCCGUUCUCAGGCAUUUGGUAGUUUAUUCCUUCUUUUUUUGUUUUUUUCUCCCCUGAAUCAACUCUUUGGAGUCCAAAAAAAUGUAUGCGAGACGCCAUGAGCGCAACUCUAUAGGUGUGUUUUUAAAGUCGUUUGUGUGUGGUAAGGAGUAUUUCUUGUUGGUGCUGCUGAGGUUACUGUUUUGAUUAUUAUUAGAGCCACGUUUAGUUAUCCAAAAGUGGCUGAAUUGAAAAUACUUUUUUUUUUUUUUCUUUCGCUAAAUUACAAAAAAACCAUUCUAUCAAAAACUGAUUUUUUACUUUCCUCCCUGUCUAUUAAAAUCUACACAUUGCCCCCCUAAAAAAAUAAAACAUCGGGUUUUGAAAGGGAGGUUUUCUGUAAUUUAUUUUUUUUUUUUUUCAAUUCGAUUAUUUAGAUACAUAUAGAGUGAAACAUGAAAAAUAUAAUUUUAUAAUUUUGAUUCUUUAAUUAUAGUAAAAAAAGUGAAAAUAUAAACAAACGACUUAUACUCACAAUUUAAAUUAAAAUUUGAAAUUUGAAAUUUAAAAUUUUAUUCUUAAAAUUUAAAUUUAAACUUAAAUCAAGUUGAAUUUAUAACUAAAAUUUAAGAAAAUUUAUUCAAAUUUUAAUUCAUAAUUUAAAUUUAUAAUUUGAGUCUUAGUUUAAUUUACUUUCUGACUCAAAAUUUUGUAUUCAAAUAUGAAUUCACAAUUUGAAUUAAUAUUUAAAUUAAAAUUAAAAUUUGAGUUUAAAUCACACGAACUGAAUAUUUGAAUUCAAAAUUCAAAUUCAAAAGUUCAAACUGUGAACAUUAUUGAAAUUAAAUAUAAAUAGCAAAUUUAAAUUUAAAUUUGAAUUUCAACUUAAAAAUAUAAAUUUUAAAUUNUUAAAAUAAUUUAAAAAUAGAAUUUAAAUUUGAAUUAAAAUAAAUAUUUAAAUAUUUAAAUUUAAAUAUAAAGUCAUAAAUUUGAAUUUAAAAAUUUUAUGUUGAAUUUGAAUUUACAAAUAAAUUCAGAAUGUGAUCUAAAUUUAUAUUCUAGAAUUCAAAUUUAAAUAAAAAUAAAAACUUAAAUAUUUAAAUUUAAAUAUAAAGUCACAAAUUUGAAUUUAAAAAGUUUUUUGUUAAAUUUGAAUUUAUAAAUAAAAUUCAGAAUGCGUUCAUGAUUUUAAUUCAAAUUUAAAGUGAAAUUCAACUUUAAAAUAAAAUUCAAAGAUUAAAGUUAAGACCAAAUAUAUCCUUUGAGCUAAGCUCUCUAAUUUCGGUUACUUUCGAAUUUUUUGAGCCAAAGUAAAAAGUGUGAGAUUUAAUUAUAAUUCAUUUAAUCAAUCCAUUUUUGUAAAAUGUCUUUCAUAUUUAUUUUCGCUACGCAAACAAUUGAUAUGACAUCACUUUUUAAAAUAUCACUUUCGGUACUUCACUUUCGGCCAACCAAACAUGCCCUUGGAAUCACUACAACGAUAUACUUUGUAACCCAAGUACUAGCGACUUGGUCUAUUGGGCCUCUUAUGCCCAUCGGGGUUUUUUGCAUCAGCCCAAUUAAAAUGUCACGUUUAACUCACGCGAUGUAGAAUUGACGUCUGAUAUUAUUAUGGAUAUUGCGACUUUGUUCUCAGAAUUGUUUUUCUUGUUUACCUGCUGUUGAAUUUUCAAGAAAACCCAAGUCUAGAAUGCAAAAGGUAAUUUUAUACACUUAUAAAAUAAUAAAUUUACCAAAAGAAAAAAGAAAUUAGAGAAGAAAUAUUACAAUUAUAAUUUUCAAAUGUUUGAGAACAGAAGUGUUAACGUCAAGAGUUUGUUCAUGCGUCAGUCUCAACAUUGGAGCGUUGCAGGGACUAUCAAUACAUUUUUAGAAAAAAAAAAAUCUAUAAAAUCUUUCAUUUUUAUUCCCAAAAUGGCCUUGAGGGAAUCCAUCGCCCUUCAAACUGAGUUUCCCUUUGUUUUAGGCUUGUUUGGUUUUACCAAAAGUGGCCGGACUGUAGGCCUAAGUGAACUGUGGUAAAAGUAAAGUUCAGAUAAAAAUUACUUCUUUCCAAAGUUGUUUGGUUUUACAGUUAUGAAAGUAAAGUUUCUUCAAUUCUAUUAUUAGCUUGGUAGAAAGUGAAUGACGUUACAAUUAUAAUUUAUAUACAUAAAUAACAAAUAAUUAGAUAAAUAGUAAAUUAUAAUAUAAUAAAGGCCUUUUUUCAUAAAAAAUCUACUAAUUUUGGGCUUUUGGAAGAUUGGAUCGUCUUUUUCGAUUUUGUAGAUUCAGUCCGGAGUUUCAGCAAACUGACCAAAAUACCCUUAUUAUUUUUUCUCUCUCCUCUUUUUUUUCUCUCAUUCUUUUUUUCUCUCUCUGAAAAAGGCAGUGGAGGCGGAGGCGGAAACAACCUGCCUCGCCUCUGCCCUGCACGCCCUCGCUCUUGCCCGUGCACCCCCGCCCUCGCAUCCGACCUUGCUCAGCCGCGUCGCGACCCCCUUCUUCAUUAGGGCACGACAACUUCGAGGUGCAGGCUUUUCUCCUCCACGGCGCAUCCAAACGCCGCGACGUUGUCAGAGGCGACGAGAUCGCCUCCGACGACGUCGCCGACAACGCCGCGAUGGUUACGAUAGAGAGCAAGGAAAAUGUGGUGACAAAAAAAUAUAUAGAAAAAAAAAAUAAAAAAAAAUAAAAAAAAUCUUUUUCUUACAGAAAAGAUCAAAAAAUAUAGAUGAAGAAAAAAGAUGAUGAAAUUACAAUGUUAAAAUAUGAUUACACUGUUUUUAAAAAAAAUUACACUGUUUUAAUAAAAAUUGCACUAUUUGAUAUACAAAUUACACUCUUUUAAAAUUAAUUUUACACUCUUUAGAUUAAAAUUACACUCUUUAAGAAAAUUUUGCACUAUUUCUUUUUUUUUUUUUUCUUUUUCUCUUUCUCUUCUUCUUCUUCUUCCUCCUCAUCCUCCUUCGCAUCUCCUCCUCCUCCUCUGUCGCCACUGACACCGCCGCCUCCACUACGUCCUUCAACUUCGAGAUCUCCGGCGAGCACUCCUUGAAGGACACCUCGUCGUUCUCCGCCGCCACCGCUGCCCACGCCGCGAUCCCCUGCCUCCGAGUCUCUAUCUCUUUCUCCAUCUCCGGCCCCGCUCCCUCCGCGGCCGCCGCAUCAGACGACCGAGCCGCCGCUGCCGCCGAGAUGGAGAAGAUGCUGGGGGACGCCGCAUCUUCUCCUUAAUGCUUAUUAACUUGUUUAUUUAUUGCAUACACAAUACUACACUGUACAAAUGCUUAUGUAUAUUUUCAAUAGAAAAAAAAUGAGAAAAAAGAAAAGAAAUGAAAAUAUAUUACCAACCAUUAAUGCUUCCUAAAGAAAUGACCAAGAAUUAAACAAAAUCCCACUUGAGCAUUUACCAUGUAACAUACAAGUUUUUAUUUCCUUAAUUUCUCUAAAUCGCAGGAAAAAAAAAUGGAGGAUUAACAUACAUACAACUAGUUGUAACAAGGCGUCGGCGAUGGCUCGGUCGUCGGGGGCGAGAAGAGUCAUCUUGCGGAGGGGCGCGAGCUCGACGAGGUGGGCGCGGAUCGCGGCUGCGGCCACGAUGUAGCGGCCGCUGUGAGCGAGGCUCGCCGCGGCGUCCCCCAGCAUCUUCGAACCGUCUUCUUGCCGCGGAGUCCCCCAGCAUCUUCGAACCGUCUCCUCGCCACUCUUUUUCGAACCGUCUUCUUGCCGCGUCACGCGCUCGAUCUCCUCCGCAAUCGGGGUCCUGGCCGAGUCAGUGUCGGCAGCGUCGAGGGCCAGGCGGAGCACGGCGAGGCAGUCGGCGAGGUCGAGGGCCUCACGGCUCUAACGGGGGUGGAAAGAGAAAUGGUGUAAGGAGGAGGAAGAAUGAGGAAGAUGGGGGAAAGGAGAAAUAGCGUAAAUUUCAUCUUAAUAGUGCAAUAUUCGUCUAAAGAGUGUAACUAUUGAUUCCAAAGAGUGUAAUUUUUACUUCAAAAUGUGCAAUUUUAUCUAAAACAGUGCAAAUUUUUUUUAAAAUAGUGUUGUUUUAUUUAACAGUGCAAUUUCAUCUUUUUCUUCAUUCUUCUAUGAUUUUUGAUCAUUUUUGAGGAGAAAUAGUUUAACAAGAGAAAAAACAGUGCAACAAGAGGAGAAGCAGUAUAAAUAUCUCUUAAAGGAGUACAGUUUAAGAUAAAAAUAGUGUAACAAGAGGAGAAAUGGUGCAACAAGAGAAGAAACAAUGCAACAAGAGGAGAAACAAUAUAAAUAUCUCUUAAAGGGGUGCAGUUUAAGAUAAAAAACAGUAUAACAAGAGAAAAAAUUCUGCAACAAGAGGAGAAACAGUGCAAGAUUCGUUUAAAGAGUGUAACUUUCAUCUUAAUGGAUGCAUUUUACAUCUGAAAGAGUGCAAUAAGAAGAGAAACAGUGUAAAUAUCUCUCAAAGAGUGUAAUUUUCGUUUAAAAGGUGUAAUUUUCAUCUUAAAGCUCCAGUUUACAUCUUAAGUAGUGCAAUUUAUAAUUUUUUUUGCAGUUAAUGAUGCAAUUUCAUCUCCAUCCUUCUUUUUAUAUAAUUUUUUAUCUUUACUUUUUUCUUUUUUUUCUAUAAUUUUUUUUUGUCACCCUCUCUGCCAACAGUCACAGUGCCGGCGACGACGCCGCUAAUGACCCUCCGCUCCGAGGCUGCAGCGCCGCAGUGACCUCCACGGUGUCGGCGUCGGCACCGGCGAAAAUGUAUCGUUGUUGGAGGCGACGGAGAAGGAGGGAGAGGAAGAGGCGAGAAGGGCGGGGAAGAGCGAGAGAGGCGUCGUCGUCGGAGACGGUGGAGGAGAGUCGGGAAAGAAAAGAAAAGAAAAAAAUAUAAAAAAAAAGUCGCGGCGCGGCCUUGGCGAGGUCGAAGGUGAGGAAGGUGGAGGGUGCGUGGGCGAGGGCAAGGGCGAGGGCGAGAGCAUGAGGGUGAGAGACGAGGCGGACCGUUUUCGCCUCCGCCUCUGCCUUUGUUACUUUUUUCGGCGAGAAAAAAAAAAAAGAGAGAAACGAAGAGGAGAGAGAAAGAGGAAAGAGAAAAAGUAAUAAGGGUAUUUUGGUCAGUUUGCUGAAAAAACGGACCGAAUCUGCAAAAACAAAAAAGGUGGCCCAGUUUUGCAAAAGCCCAAAAUAAGUGGAUUUUUUAUGCAAAUUGGCCUAUAAUAAAUAAUAUUCCUAUAUAAUUAAUAAAAGGAAUUUGAGACAACUUAAUUAAUUUUUUUAUACGUAAAUCCUUACAAAUACAUAAUUUGACAGUUUUUGGAGGCAUACGUGGCGAAUUUUUGUGCUUUCAUAUCUUGCACCAACGGGAAGAAUCCAAAUGGCUUCUUGGCUCCUUUCCAAGGUUUGACCAGGUCAAGACAGCUCCUUGGCUACUUCCCAAGGUUGAAACAGAUUGGACCAAAAAAUUUCCUCCUUUCUAAGGUUUGACCAGGUCAAGACAGUUACUCCCUCUCUCCUCUUCCCGAGAUUUUUUGUCUCUCUCUUCUUCUACAGGUAGCCCCCCCUCUUAUCUCUCUUCCUUACUUAAGAUGGCCUAUUUCUCUCUCUCUCUCUCUCUAUAAUCCUCUUUCUUUUUUCUCUCAUCCAGUUAGCUCAUUCUUUCUCUCUCUUCUCCUCUCCCCUACUCUCUCUCUCUCUCUUCCCUUCUUCUCUCUAUCUUAGCCCCCUCACUCUCAUCCUAUUAUUCGCACCCACUGUCGUUUCGGCAACAAGUGGCGACCAUCUCCCGCCUGCUCUUUGGCCGCACCGACAAUGCCAUCAAGAACCACUGGAACUCCACCCUUAAGUGCAAGUACGUGGCCCCCGCCGCCGUCGCGAUCGACUCCGCCGUCGCCGCGCCGGAUUUCGGAGAUGACGAGGCGCUGCCGCCGCGGUUGCCAAAGCAAGCCAGCAACGUCGGGCCCGCCGUGUCGGCGGAGCUCUGCCUCAGCCCCGGCAGCCCUUGCGGCUCGGAUCUCAGCGACUCCACCCACCACACCUACCCCUUCGCCGCUUCGCCACCCAGAAUGGCGACGGUGGCGCACGUGUACCGGCCGGUGCCGAGAACAGAAAAAAAAGGAAAAAAAAAAGAGAGGCAUGAAGUAUAACUUCACACCUUCUUAUCUAUUUUUACUUUUUUUAUUUCUGAUAUUAUAUUUUUUCUCAACAGAAAAGCUCAAAAUAUUUUUUUUUAUAAUAAAUAGGAAUGAUCACAUGCUCCACAACUUUUUUUAGGCAUGUAUUUUUCUUCUUAAACCUCUUUGUAUUUACUUUUUUUUAACUAUAAAUUUUUUUAUUUUAUUUUUCUACUUAACUGUUUUAUAAUAAUAUAAAAUUAAUCGUUAACUGCAGCGAAGCGCGGGUUCUAUACUAGUUAUGAUAAUACAACAAUAAAAUCAUAGAGUAAGAAAACUAUUAAUACUCAAGAAAUCAAUUCUUUUUAUAUUUUAAAUAUGCAAACUAAAUAAAAGAGAUACAAAACAUAAUUAAUCAAUUUUUAUCGCAUACUAAACAUGUAAGCUUCUGUAGCAGCCCACAGUAUACCUUGCGAAAGGCCCUGAAUUAUUGGAGUUGCAGAGCUUGACAAAGAUUCAAUCACCUUCAGCAAACUCCAAUGGCCACCGUGUUGCAUCAACCCACUUUGUCAUUCGGCAUGCCUUCUUCUUUGGAUAGGCCCUCGCGAUCUCGCCCUUUUUCUGUAGUUUUGAAGUGAAUUAGAGUGCCAUGGGCUGUGGCCUCACUCGUCGACUGUGCGUGGGGCCGACAGUUAUCUUCUUAUCGCUAGCUCAAAUGGGCUUAGAUUCAUGAACUCGCUCAGCUGCAAAUUGUAAGAGAACUGAGCCACAUUACGAUAGUGCACCAAGUUCUUCUAGUGGGCACCCGCACAGUGUCAUAGGUAUUCCUUCAACAGGGUGUUCACCCGCUCUAUUUGCCCGUCCAUCUGUAGGUGGACACUGGUGGAGAAUAGCGACUCCGACCCUAAGAUCUAAAAUACCUUUGUCCAGAACUUGCCCAUAAACCUGGAUUCACGGUCGGUCUUCGGGAUCCCUAAAGCUUCACUAUAUGGCUAAUGAAGAGCCACGCCACUUCUUCUACCGUGUAAUCCGCUGGUGCCAAAAUAAAGGUUCCAUACUUGGAGAAUCGAUCCACCACCACGAGGAUGGACCCUAACGCCCCUACCUUUGGCUAGGUGGAGAUGAAGUCCAUUGAGACUCACCCACAGAUGCUUCGGUGUAGGUAAUGACUCGAGAAUGUCGCCGGGCCUCUAGUGCUCAACCUUAUCUUGUUGGAACACAAGGCAAUUCUGCACAUACGCCUCCAUAUCUUCAUGCAUUUGAGGCCAAUAGUAUGCAUCCUCCAGUAUGCGAAAGUUCGUUUCUGCCCAGGAUGUCCUAACUACUUGGAAUCAUGGCAUUCUUUUAUAAGCUCUCGACGAAGAUUGCCCUACUUGGACACAUAGACGUGACGUCCCUUGCUAAAGAGCAACCUACCACUAAGCGAAAACAGCUAUGCCUUGCCCUCCUUGACGAGCCGCACGAGUUCUUUGGCUAAAGGGUCCUCGCAAGUCCUUUCACGGAUUUGCUCCCUAAUCGCCCCUUGGAGCUCGCACACUGCAGCCAACUCCACCUUACAACUAAGUGCAUCAGCCACGUGAUUCUUCUUCUAGUGUUUGUAUUAGAGCUCCGUGACGAACUCCGCCUAGAAGUCUUGCUAUCUCGCCUGCUUAGGUGAAACCUUCUUUUGGGUUUGGAAGUAGCUCGUGGUGCUAAUGUUCGUCUGCACCACGAACUUGAUCUUGAGAAGGUAGUAAUGCCAAGUCCUCAAGAAUGCACCACGACGAUCAUUUCCUUCUCCUAAACAAUGCAUCGCCGCCCAAUGUCAUUCAGCUUGCGGCUCUUGUAGGUGAUGGGUUGCCCAUCCUACAUGAUAAUACCGCCAAUGGUAAAGUCCGAAAUAUCUAUAAGCACUUCGAAUGGACUAUUGCAAUCAAGAAGUCGUAGUACUGGAUCAUCCGUCAUCGCCCACUUAAGGUCCUCGAAUGCCUCCGCGCACUAACCAGUCCAAUCCCAUGGCUAGUUCUUCUUUAGUAGGUCUGCCAACGGAGCCACUCGUGUAGAGUAGCACACAAUGAAGCGGCGAUAGUAGUUGACGAGUUUGAGAAAGGCUUACAGUUCAUACACUAUCAUGGGUGUCCCCCACUAGUAGAUUGCCCACACCUUUCGGUGGUCCAUGUGGAGUUGCCCCUGGCCCAUCUAUUGGCCAAGGAAGUGCACCUAAUUCUUCAUGAUGGAGCACUUCUUUUUCUUGAUAAAAAGCUGGUUCUCUCGCAGUACAUGAAAGAUGGUCCAUAGAUGCUCGACAUGCUCCUUCAAUGUGUUGACACAACGAUGUCGUUCAGCUGCACACUACCAUGAAGUAACUGAGGUAAGGGUGGAAUAGCUUGUUCAUAAGAGUGCAGAAGGUCGCCGGCGCAUUUGUCAGGAUGAAUGGCAUGACAAGGAACUCUUAAGCCAUGUACCUCAUCACGCGUGUGGUCUUCUCCUCGUCUACUUCCACAAUUCAGACUUGAUAUACCCUGAGUGGAGAUCGAGCUUGGUGAAAUACUUCACCCUACCUAGCUGGUCAAAGAAAGCUGCAACCAAAAUGAUAGGGUACUUAUUUUUUACUAUUGCCUUAUUGAGUGCCCUCUAAUCAAAAUAGAGUCAUAGUCUUCCGUCGCUCUUCUGUUAGAAUAGUAUUGAUGCUCCAUAGGGUGCCUUCGGCAGUCUUAUAAAGCUCAAUCGAGGAGCUCUUGCAAUUGGUUUGCAACUCCUCGAGCUUCAACUGGACUAUUCUAUAUGGUGCUGUAAUUGGUGGCUUGGCUUCUAACUCGAGGUCAAUUGCAUAGUCCACUUCCCGCUUAGGUAGGAGUCAUUUGGGUAGUUCCUAAGGCAUAACAUUUUAGAAUUCCCUCAAGACUGCAUCAAUUUCUAUCGAAAAGACCUUCUCAAGGCCCUCAUCGUUACCUCGCAAAUGGCCGCAAGGUAAGUCAUCUCGCUAUUGUAGUGUCCAUAGGGUUUAGUUGACGGAGUGACUACAGUAUCAGCGACUAGUCGACACAUCUGGAGACUGUCGGACUGAGUUGGAGUCGUUUUUGCACAAAAUGGAUGCACAAAUGGACUUGGCGAACUCAAAUAAGCAAAACUGGUAUUUUGCCAGUUUAGGGCGCCCAGAAAUGGGUUUAGGGCACCCAGAUCUUGAGUGUUGUUUUGUAUUAGAUGCUGCAGCCAUUUCGGACCCUAUUUAAGGCACCCGAAAAUUGGAUCCGAAAAUUCACAUCGUGAAUAUCGAUUGCGUUGACACGUGGGUGUGGUAGGUGAGCUCCGCCGAAACCGGAUAGCGGUGUAGCUGACCGUCGGACGGAGGAACCGAGGUACUGUUUGUGUAGGCUGAAAGUUCUAGGGGCCCAGAACUGGGUUUAGGGCGCCUAGAUCUUGGUUUUUCUACAGCAGUGCAGGUUAGUAAAGGUUAUCCUUAAGGCUCAAUGCACCUAACCCCUACCUGUAUAAAAAGCUGUGGACGACCUCAGUGAACCCUUUUCACCUCUUCUUCAUAGGAAGCCUGCAAUUUUGCAUUCUAGCCCCUCAAUUACUCCAAAUUUCACAAUUCCACCUUGAGGAUUGCUGAUUUAGCAGAAUUACAGCAGCGACCUUCGGCGUUUUGGCUCGUGUGCGACGUAGGAAGCUCUGUUUGCCACGAAACUUAGUUUGGUGGAUUUUGGACUUCAAGACGAAUUCGUGGAGCCCAUUUUGAUAGAAUUUGGUUGAGGUUAGCUUGGUCAAUUCUGCGUUUUUCUCUGCUGCUGGUAGUUUUAAGCUGAAAUUGGGAGUUUUGGGUUUUCUUGAUGCUAUCUUUGGAGGAAGCUGGAUCUUGGACCUGAGGGUGAUUCUCCAUCAUUGUACACUGGUUUUGGGACCUUCCUCACCUGAUUUGAAGAUUGUUAGGUGAGUUUUGACAUUGGAAUUGGAGGAAUGAGCUUACGUGCUGAAAUUUGAGGGUAAUAAUGCAAGUUUUGGUGUUUUUGGUGUUUUGAUCCUUGAAGGAGUUUGGUUGCUGGUUCUAAGAUUUAGGAUAGUUUCAGCAGUGGUUCCAGCAACUUCGCGAUCUCGUGCUGCCGUGGAUUAGCGCUAGAGGUGGGUUAAUCAUCUAAUUCUCCUCCUAAGUGUAUGCAUAGUCAACAUGUAUAUUUUCAGCCUUUGUAUAUCAUAUUUUUAGCUCGAAUUCAUCGAUUAGUAUGUUAAAUGAAAUCUGAAUUUGGAGUAUACUGUAGUGAGUUAGAUAAAUUAUACAUGUUGGACUUGGAAUUGACUUAGGAGAAAACUAGCGAUUCUACACUAUCAUAUGUUAAACUAUCAGAUUUAGCUCUAGGAGCCGUAGUUUGUUUGUAUCACCACAGUUUGUGUGUAGUGGAUACCCAUAUUAGUGUAGAAUGCAUUACGUUCGUGCUGGGAUGUCGAGCUUGAGUAAUAUUCAAUUGUAGGUUCUACACUAUCAUUUCUAAAAAUUAUCAGAUAGCUCCUUAAGCUAUUGUGCUUCGUAUCCAGGCUGUUAGUGCGCAUUUGAUACUCAAAUAGCUUCUGAAGCUGUUGCGUUUCGUAUCCACGCUGUUAGUGCCCAUUCGAUACUCAGAUAGCUUCUGAAGCUGUUGCGGUUCGUAUCCACGCUGUUAGUGCGUAUUUGAUACGCGGAUAGCUUAGGAGCUGUAGUUUAUUUGUAUCGCCGCAGUUUGUGACGGUGGAUAUCCAGGAUAGUGUAGAAUGCAUUUAUACUCGUGCUGGGAUGCCAAGCUUAUUUUUUACAGCAGUGUUUAGGCUGUUUCGAACUGUUAGGUGCCGUUGAGGUUGACGAUUGACCCAGUUUGCUAUUUUUGCAUCAGAUUGUGCCGAGGGCACGUGAGUUUGGUUGUUAGACCAGUUAAACUCUGUUUACUUGACUAUAGCCUGUGAGAGCCUGAUUGAGCUCGGCAGAGAUACACUUGCAUACUCGAUUAGGUAGCACCCACGAGUGCCACUCCGAAAUCGGGCUUUGUGCGUUUGCAUUGGUGUCGUUGUGUCCUGGUUGGACUUGCUCUCCACGGACGACUUAGCAUGGGGGUAGCAGUAUAGCUUCGACAAGCGGGAUGAGUGUAUUCACAGUCCCUGGGGCUGGUGUAUUCACAGUUCUUAGUGAGAUUGGGUCAGAGAUUGCAUUAUUCUAUGAAUAAUUAGUGUUGGAUCAUGAUAAUAUAGUGGCAUAUAGCUGUAGAUUGUUUUCAGUUCCUUUACUAUCAUUUGUGCAUACUUUCUGUAGACUUGGUAGGAGCCGAUGAGAUUGAGGGCGGUACCUACUGAGGACUACUUUUUUUGCAGUAGUUUUCACGCCCAGUUGUUACCCCUCUUUUUGCAGAGCCUUCUUCUUCGGCUGCUGCUAUCGCGGAUAUCGAUCGUGGAAAGGGAGUCGCGAGCUAGAUCCCUUCCCGUUUUGCUGCUGACUUAGAGAUAUACCAGCUACAGGUAGUUGUAGUUUUUAGUUCUUAUACAUACUAAUGUUAGAUCCUCGCUGGAGCGAGUGUUUUUGUACCAGGAUGCUAUGUAUGUAUAGUAAACCAAUUUUAUUUAUAUAUUAUUCUUUUUAGCAGCUCUAUACUACUGGUUGUAGUGUUGUAUGAUUACAGGUACAAGUACAGCUAUCGCUUCGUAUAUAGAAAAAAUUUUUAUGUAUUCGGCGGGUCUGUUAGCGUGUCCGGAAAAACGAGUAAUCCGGGGCGUGAUAGCUAUGCCCCAUCCCUUUCCACAAUUGUAAAAUGAAAAGGGCCUAGGUUGUCGCUAGCUCGAUGCGGCUAGUCGGAACCAUGCAAAGGGCUGCCUCCUCCAUGAUGCUUAACUCCAAGGUAUGGCAUCGACAUUGCCUUCGACGAAGCUAGGAAGUUGCCUAGUUGUCAUUUUGUUCACAACAAUCUCCCCUACCUUUGGCCUUGCCCACCUUAGGUGGUUUGCCAUGAGUAUGAUCUUCCUUCUCAUACUCUAGUAGUUUCUUUGCUAAGGCAAUAGUGGAGCUCACAUCCUUAACGUCAUGUCCUACGAGCUCUUUGUUCGCCCAUGGUUGGAACCUAUCAAGAAAGAAGAAUAGUUGAUCCUCUUUAGCCAUAUUGGUGGUAGCUUGUCACGCCCUGGGCCCAGCGGAAGCCCGCUGGCGCGUGCACAGACCCGCCGUGUACACCAACAAACACAAUGCACAUAAGGCGUCUACUAAAUCAAGAAAUGAAUAUAGAAGUCCUAACAAGGCUAUCAGAGUGAGUACAAUAAAAAAAUCACUAGAGUUCAAGCAUAAAGAGAUACAAAAAGUAAACAACUAAAUCCAAGAGUCCAACAUAGCUCUAAACCAAAAUACAUAAUACAUCUUUUCCAAAGGUGCAAAAAGGAAAGAUGACAUCGGGUCCAACUAAAAUAUCUCCGUAGGGACUCUAGCUAGUCACUAACCCCUUGCCUCGAUCCCUAGCCACUCCCGAUACGAAUGGCUCUACAACCACAACAAAAAUGGAGGGCGUGAGAACUAUUAGAAAUAGUUCCCAGUGGGCAAGUCAAUGACCUCAGCAAAAUACUCCACUAGGCUAAAAAUAGGCAUGCUAUAAAGGUAAAUGAAUAAGCAAAUAUGAAAAGCAAGUAAUUAAACAAGAUUAAACAUAGUCAUGCCUCUACUACGAGUAUAACUAAUAUGUAUAUGAUGUUCUACUUUUAUUUGAUCAUCUAUAUGUCAAUGUCGAUUUACAUGCAUGUUCAAUUGUAUGCCAUUGUCCAUUACGUGCAUGUUCAACUAUAUGCCAAUAAAAGUUUACAUGCAUGUUCCAAUGUCCAUGAUGCUAUAAUGAGUGAUUAAGCUUUUCAUUACUAAUCUAAACUUGCAUUAUGCCUAUCAAUAUAGGUACAAUAUACUACCACUAGAGUAUCAACGCUAAGAAUGACCAACAUAUAGUCCACAAUAUGCACUAUCAUGCAUGUCUAAUAGUCCAACUAGGAUACACUCUCUAGUAGUAGUAGUAGUUUUCACAUUGUACUUUAAGUAUCAAAGUUCAAUCCUCGUCAUGGAUCUACACGUGUGUAGUCCGGCUUGCGCCGUGCCUAAAAUGGCCCCGUAGUAGUCAACAUUCCCACUUUAGGAAUGAGCCUUCCCCACGGCAUCCCAUUUCGGCGCCCAAUUCUGCACUGGCGAGCUUGUGUCGCAUAGGCUAUCUCCGGAGUGCCGGCUUGUGGGGAGCGACCCUCACAAGCAUGUAUGAAUGAGCACAAUGACAAGCAAGCGUGAUCAAUAGUAUUCAGCUCUCGGUCAUCAUGUCUAAAGCAUGGAAUAAGUACCAAUGACCCCAAAGGUCCGAUAUAGUAUUUCAUUGUCAAGAUUUAUCAUUUAGUAAUUCAAAUGUCACUGCAUGAUAAGUAACUAGUUCAUAAGCACAUAACACUUGUCAUUAUCCUAUCUAGGAUAGUUCACUAUUAUUCAAGUCUCAAAGAAAGUUUGCACUUAAACUGUUCCACUAUAGCCAAGUAAAUUCCUUUCUCAUGCCAUAUGCAUAGGUACUGUAAGAUAUGUCGAUGUCCAUGAUGCACGCCAUGCAUAUACUUUUCUACCAAUGCCUCCACUAUAUGGAGUAAUAAACUAUCAUGCAAGUGUUUUCAUACAAUUAAUGCAAUAUGCAAAUAUCCAUCUUGUCAUUUGCCCAAGGGCAUUCCAAACACUACCCUCAUGUCAAGUUCUAGUUGUGCAACUAGGUUAAAUGCUCCAAUCUUAGUCUCAUGAUGACCUUAUCAUGCACUAUGUCACUAUGUCACUAUGUCACAAUUAUCUUGUUUACAACAAGUGUAAUGUUAUUAUGCAAGAAUAUAUUAAAUUCCAAUCACCUUGUCUAUAACAAGUAUGACGUUGUCAUCAUGUUAGUUAACCAUUAUCUAACGCGUUCACUAGGUACCCCCAAGGAGUUAUACGAUCAUUCAUACUCUAACAUGCUUCCUAUAGUUGCAUAAGAUAGAAAAGUCAUCAAGUAAUGCUAGACCAUGUACAAGACUACAUAUUUGCCUCUACUACAUAGAGGACAAAUUUUUCACCAUACAUAACAUGUAUGUAUUAUGCUUUCAUAAAUUAUAACAUGUCAUUUUGAGCAUUGUUUAGUAUCUAAUUAUUUCUCGAAAUCAAAAGGUAGACAUAGGGGGGAGUUCACCCAUUUCGGUGAGGUCAAACCUACCAAAGCUCUCUGGACUCCUUUCGUUUGUACCAACGAAGAUGUCCACUAGCCUCCUAACUUCCUAGAGAAAAUUCUAAGAGAGUUAGACAAAGCAAACAAACACCCUAAGUGCUCAUCUAAGAAGCAACCAAAGAAUAAGGCAAAACUCAUCUAAAGUGUAGAAAAACCCUCUCAAAUUCCAAAAGGUGGCUAGAUCACUUCAAAUCUACCCCAACGAGUUGUUCUACACCUAUCAAUUCCAACUAAAAAUCCUCAAAUCAAAAAUCUCCAAAAUAAACCCUAAAUUCUCAUUUCUAGGUUUUCAUCUUGCUAAAUCCAUCAAAACAUGGAUAAAAAAGGGAAAAUAUGCUACUAACCUCUUUAGAAGCCUCAACCUAGACUUAAAGUGAGCUAGGGUUGAAGAUCUCUCCUCCAACAAGCUCAACACCAUGUUCCCAAGCUUCUCCCAAGGUAGAAAUGGCACCAAGAAGCAAAAAGAAGUAAAAGAGGAAGAUUAAACCUCUAAAAAAACUCAAGUAAAAAAAAGCUUAAAACCCAAGGAAAAGGAGUGGAGACCUACCCUCCUUCCUCCUCUGUCGCAGCACAAAGCCCCUGUCCAAGGGGUAGGGGCGUAUAUAAGGUAUUGCGACAAAAGCGAAAAGAUCCCUCAAAAACUGCCAAACUGCAGUUUGCACUGUGUACCGGUACACGAAAAAGUGUACCGGUACAAAACCACGGCACGCACAAACCCGAGCCUCGGGUUGAUAGAAAACUGCUAGUUGUACCGGUACAAACCCGAUGUUGUACCGGUGCAACAUCCUGUUCCGAUACAAGCUCAAUGCUGUAUCGGUACACAGCUCUGCAAAAUCCAAUUCGAGGACAGCCAACAAUCUUCACUUUUGAGACUUUGGCACUAAACUUUAAACCUCGAUUCUCGGGAUGCGAGACAUAGGUCGGAACACUGUCUACGACCCUCCAGGAUACCUGGAAAAACUCAAAUCACCUAUCGAACACUUGAACCCGCAAUUUGCAAAAGUUCAGUGUGUUACAUAGCUAGCAUCAGUUUAGAGUACUCCUUGACAUACUUAUUGAGUGUCCUAAUAUGCUUGUGCUGUGGAAGUUGCCUCUUCACAAGAUCUAGUUAAAACUGUGCCUUGAGCUCGUGCAAAAAGUCCUCCUAGCUCGCAUUGGCCUUCUCAUCCUCUGUCGCUCGCUGAUGCCACUAUAGAAUUAUUCACUGUUGAUGAGGUACAUGGAAGCAGUUUAGACUUUCUCUUCCUUGUUCUCUAAUCUUAAUGCCUUGAGGUAGUGCUCUAUGUGCCAUAAGAAGUUAUCAAUUUCUUCUCAUCUUGCAUGCCCUUGAAGCACUAGAGUUCAGGGACAUGGACCUUUGGGGUAUACUCCUUCUAUGCCUCAGCACCAUGAGCCACAUCCUUUUUGAGGCUCAUCAUCCAUAUCUUGAGGUCCUUGGCUGCAUCGACCCUAACGACAAGUUCGUCUACCGGCACCUUUCGCUUAUUCUCGUGGUGAGUGAGGUCAUCCUGAAACUGCUCAAGUUAUCAGCGAAAGGUCAUCAUGGUAGCCAUAGCGAGGUCCUUCGUAGUAUGAAGCCCAUACUUCCAUUAGCUCUAACUGUUGGGAUAGAAUAGAAUAUCGCUUUUCCAGUCUCGCAACAAUAUCCUUCAUCAAGCCUACGUGGUCUUUGAGUGAAACGAACUCCCUCGCAUGGGUCUAUGGCUUUUUUCCUCUUGCCUCGCUUGGACUGCUUGGGCUGAGGGAUUAUGUCAACGAUGGAAGCAUUUGAUGAUGACAUGGUUCCUACUUCUCGAACCCGCCCUGAUACCAAUUGUUAUGGACUUGAUUAGUCACAAUCGCUUAUCAAGUUUGUACGGUGCUCACCUUCCUUCGCCUCUCUAGUUGCUAUUCCGGACCUAUUCGUUCUACGACUCAGUAUAAGAUAGAGAGUGUGGAGGAAGAUAGAUGUAUAUUGGUAUGUACAAGCAAGAAAACUAAAUACAUACUCAUACCCAAGAUCAUAAACAAAAUAAAAUAUAACUCACAGAGCAUCAUAGAGAAGAAAUUCUUGAUCAACCUGCGAAAGCGAAAAAUUCAGCUGUAAUGUGAACGUUACCAACUGAACUCGAAUAAUUUGGUUUCUCCUUCUUUCUCAGGUACUCUUCCUUUGGUGUGAAAUAGAUGGUAAUUAUUCUUCAUAAUGCACAUGAGAAUGAGGCAGGACUAGUACCCCCUUUAUAUAAAGUUUAGAUUGACUUUUCAUCAAAGUCUUAUUAGGAUUCUAUUUAACUUAAAUAGAUAGGAAAGAGAUUAGAUAUACCAUAUCAAGUAGUUCUAUAUCUACUAAGAAUGACCUUUAUUUAUUUUAAAUCUAUAUUUGAACAUGAUUAAUUGGGCCAUAUUUAUAGAAAUCCCAACAAUCUCUCACUUGGCUUAUAUUAAUCAUAUUUCAUGAACGGAUUUUCUAUAUUCCAAACUUUAUUGUGUAUUAUUGAAAACUUUAUGGUCAAAUACCUUAUAACUUACGUGAUCCUUAGCUCAAAUUAAAAGACUAUAAUGAUAGGAACUAUGGUAGUCCACCUCUUCAUAUUGAAAAUUUUCUCCCAUAAUUAUCAUAUCAUCUUCAUCUCCUAACCAAAUACUUUACAUGACACAACUUUUUGAAUAAACUUAAAAAUAUAUAUCCAUUCGUUAAUAGACAAAACUUUACGUCUAUUAAAUGGUCAAACACAGAUGCAUCACAACUGUAACUUUAAUUAAAGAAGAUAAAAAUGUUUAAUCUUAUACAUCAAAAGAACUAAUCAGACUCAUACUACUAACAUGAUCUGUAUAUGACCCAGGUGCUAGCCCCUCGGUCAUUGGGUAUAAAAUCAUACACUACUAGAAAAUUAGUUAUUAGUGACAUUUAUUUAUGCCGCUAAAAGAUCAACGAAUGCCGCUAAAAGUUUUAACAGCAUUUGACACUAAAUGCUGUCUAUACCAAUGUUGCUAAAAGUAUUAGCAGCAUUUAUAAUAAAUACCGCCACUAUAAAUUAAUUAGUGUCAUUAGAAACAUACCGCUAAAAGGGAUUAAAUGUUAAUUUUAAGUUGUUUAUUAGCGGCACAUAAAUAUAAUGCCACUAAUACAAAUAUAAGAUUUUAGAAAAAUCAAAAUUUAAAAUUUUAUUUUGAAUUUUUUUUAGAGAAAGGUAACAUGCUACUCGCUUUAUUUAUUUCUUUUAGAAAUAAACUUAACUAGAAAUGUGAAUAAACUAGAAUUCAAACUUGAGACCUCGAGUACCAACCACCAAGCCCUUUACCACUUGUACUAAGAACUAUCAGUUAUAUAUAUAUUUGAAUUUUUUAAAUUUUAAGACUUCAAUUUAAAAUUUUAAACUUUUAAAUUUUAAAUUCUAAAUUUAGAUGCUAAAUUUAAAUUUUAAAUUUUCAAAUAUUAAAUUAUAAGUUUCAAACUUUGUAGUUUUAUUAUUUAAAUUUUAAAUUUUAAAUAAAUUUAAAAUUUUAAAAUGGGAUAUAUUUAUAAUUAUAUAUUGAUUAGUGAUGAUAAUUAGCAAUAAGUCCUGCUACUUUAUUAUAUUUAACGACAUUUAUUAAUUUAUGCUGCUAAUUUAUCCUAUUUUGCAGUAUUAAUAAUAAAUUACUGCUAAAUUAUUAAAUCUACAGACAAUUAUCAAGUAAUACUGUUAAAUAUAUUAAUUAACAUAAUUUAAAUAAAUAUUGCGGAGUAAAUAUUGCGGCAUUUAGCAAUAAGCGCUGCUAAUUUGUUACAUUUAGUGUCAUUUUUUAUAAAAUGCUGGAAACUUUAGCGGCAUUUACUAAUUUAUGCUUCUAAUUUAUCUUAUUUUGCAGUAUUAAUAGUAAAUUUCUGUUAAAUUAUUAAAUAUAGCGGCAAUUAUCAAGUAAUGCCGUUAAAUAUAUUAAUUAGCAUCAUUUAGAUAAAUGUUGCGAAGUAAAUGCCGCUAAAUCAUAAUUUUGUUGUAGUGACAGUUGGUACUAAUGUAUUCAAUCGUAACAUAAUCUUCUUCUAUCUUCUCUCUCAUAAUAAGAUAUUUAGUGUUAAAGUGUUUACACUCUGCUAUAAUUUUAUUGUUAUUGGUAAAGAAAACUGCAGCUGUACUAUCACAUAAAAUUCUUGUUGGUCGAGUAAUGGAGUCUGCAAUCUUUACGUUUUUGAUAAAAUUUUUAAGCCAAAUAGCCUUGAUGUGGUCUCGUAACAUGCAAUGUACUCUGCAGCCAUGGUCGAAGGGGCAGUAACACUUUGUUUGCUGCUUUUCGAAGAAAUCGCUCCACUAGCAAGCAAAAAAGUGUACCUAGUUGUAGACUUUUUGGUCUCUGAGCAUACAGCAAAAUCGGAGUCCGAGUACUCGAUCAACUUCAAGUGAUCUGAUCUCCUGUAUAUCAACAUAUGAUCCAAAGUUUUCUUUAAGUAUCUCAUAACCUUCUUAGCAGCCUUCAAAUGCUAAAUAUCAUACCUGCCAAGUAAUCCAAUGGCAAAAGUAAUAUCUGGACGUGUGCAUGUUUGUGCAUACAUAAGACAGGAUAGAAACGAGCCGAUCUCGAGCGAGCUUACCUCAGCUCAAAUUCGGCUUGAAAUUAAUUUUGAGCCUAAUUUUAGGCUCAAGCUCGGCUUGAAAUUAAUUCGAGACGAGCACGAGCUAGCCUAAUUUCGAGUCGAGCGAGCUCGAGCCCUAAACGAGCCGCUUGAAAUUCUCAAUAUUGUACGAUCAAUAAUUUAAUUUGUAUAAAACAUUAUUUAUAUUUUGAUACAAAAAUAUAUCUGACAGUUCAAAAAACAAAAUAAUUAUAUGAAAAACGGUAUUAUAAUAUGAAGAAAAAUUACUUAUAAGUUGAAUAUCUAACCUUUUCAGUCUCGCAUGUCUUCUCUUCUGCCUUUAAUCUCCAUAUUAUUCUUUUUUAUUUAUGCAGUCAAAAAAUGAAUAAAUUAUAUAGGCAAAUAUUUGAUUAAACUAUCUAAUCAUAUAUAACUAAAAUUAAAAUUUUAUAUAAACAAUAAUUUUUUACCUUAAAAAUAUUCUGUAUAUUUUCUCAAACACACAACGAACUAAUGGCAAGAUAGGCAACGGCGGGCGCGUGCUGUUACUUGGUAACUUGGGAGGCUACAGGUUUGGCCAGUUGGGAUGAGAGACAGAGAAAGAGAGAGAGAGAGAGAGAGAACGAGAGAGAGAUUAGGGAUUUAGGGCUCUUUGAAAUAAAGAAAGGGAAAGAGUGUAAAUUUAGUAGGAUUUUGCCCUUUUGUUGGCAUAUUCGGUUUGUUUAAUUUUUAUGGGCAUGCAAUAUUGGCUCAAUUUUAACUAAACUUCGAUUACUUACUCAACCUACAUAUAAUUAAAAUAUAUUAUAUUUAUUUAUAUAUUGUUAAUUUUAUAUAUAGAGAGAGAGUAGGUCUUGUGUGCUAUUAGGAGCACGGAGGCCUCCGUGCUCCUAAGCCAUUUUCGAUGAUGGAGUUUCCGAAUCGACGAUCGGUUCUGUUAGACUUGAUCUAACGUAUUUGAAGUAUCUAGAAAAUAAUUUUUACAAUUUUUCGAUAUCAUUUAUCUAGCGAUCGAAAGGGUUCAAAAUCAACGGCUGAAAAUAAAAAUCUCACAAAAGUGGUGAUAUAGCACUAAAGUUUUCGAUCAGAGACAUUGAUCUUGCUGUAAAUAGUAUAAAGAAUUUUCUAUCAAAAUUUCAUAUGAUUUGAAUACUUUUACACCGUUAAACUUGCAUACGAUAUACCCAACCAUUAAAUAUUGUUGAUUUUAAACCCUUUCGAUCACUAGGUAAAUGAUAACGAAAAACUGCAAAAUUUAUUUUCUAGAUUUACCUCUUUUAUCAUUUUUAUCCGUUUGAUUAUACUAUUCAUGCAACCACCCACUCAACCCUAAGGGAUCCACAUCAUCCUAACCGUACAUCUUUUAAUCCAAGGGAAGAAAACUUAAUAAGACCAAGUCAUUGGUGCUAUUAAUAAUAUUCCAGCCUAUAUAUAUAUAUAUAGUGCGUCUGGUAUGCUUCUGGAAGUACGGAGCACUCCGUGCUUCCAAGUUGUUUUCAAUGUUCAGACUUUCGAAUCGACGAUCGGCUGCAUUAGACUUGAUCUAGAGUAUUUGAAGUAUCUAGAAAAUAAAUUUUGCGAUUUUUUGAUAUCAUUUGCCUAGUGAUCGAAGUGGCUCAAAAUCAACAGCUGAAAAUAAAAAUCUUACAAAAUAUGAUGAUAUGACAUUAAAAUUUUAGAUCAAAGUUAUUGAUCUUAUUUAUACAGUAUAAAGAAUUUUCUAUCAAAAUUUCAUGUGAUUUGGAUAUUUCUACACCGUUAAACUUGCAAACGGCUCACCACGGCCGUUAAAAUUAUUAAUUUUGAGCCCCUUCGAUCACUAGGCAAAUGAUAUCGAAAAAUCACGAAAUUUAUUUCCUAGGUAUUUCAAAUACUCUAGAUCAACUAUAAUGGAGCCGAUCAUCGAUUCGAAAGUCCGAACAUCGAAAACAACUUGGAAGCACAGAGGGCUCCGUGCUUCCAGAAGCAUACCAGCCCUCUCUCUCUCUCUCUCUCUCUCUCUCUCUCUAUAUAUAUAUAUAUAUAUAACUCUCUCUCUCCCUCUCUCUCUCUAUAUAUAUAUAUAGAGAGAGAGAGAGAGAGAGAGAGUUCGGCUACUAUGCUAUAGGUAGCACGAAGCGCUCCGUACUACCAAAUUGUUUUUGAUGAUGCGGCUUCCAAAUCGACGAUCGGCUCUGUUAGACUUGAUCUACACUAUUGAAAGUAUUUGGAAACUAAAUUUCAGAUUUUUUCGACAUCAUUUGCCUAGUGAUCAAAAGAUCUCAAAAUUGAUAAUUUUAAAGGCCGAUGUGGUGUGUUUGGGAGUUUAACGGUGUAAAACAAUCCAAAUAAGAUGAAAAUUUUAUAGAAAAUUAUUUUUACUAUUUAGAGUAAGAUCAGUAUAUCUGAUCUUGAAUUUAAAUCUUUUAUCAUCAUAUUUUAUGAGGUUUUUAUUUUCAGCUGUUCAAUUUUAGAUUAUUUGUUUGAUAGGUAAAUGAUAUCGAAAAUUAUGAAAUUUAGUUUCUAAAUACUUUCAAUAGUGUAGAUCAAGUUUAACGGAGCCGAUCGUCGAUUUGGAAGUCGCAUCAUCGAAAACAACUUAGUAGCACGGAGUGCUCCGUACUACCGAUUGUAUAGUAGCCUAGUUCUAUAUAUAUAAAAAAAUCAUUCGAGCUUUGCGAUCCGAGCUCGAGUGAGCCAAAUUAAUAUCAAGCCGAACGCGAGCCAACUCGCUUAUUUGCCGGCCCUACAUAAGACUACCGACUACAGAGGUAUAGAGUAUAUAUGUUUUUCAUCGGUUCAAUUUCUUAUUGGUUCUUAGGACAGUGAAAAGUAUUAAGGUUAUCUUUUUUUUAGACAGAAGUAUCACUGGGCUUAUAAUUAUGUACUUUAAAAUUUUUCAAAACUUUCUUUACAAAGGCCUUUUGACUAGUCUGAGUAAACUUUUAUGCCUAUCCCUUUUAAUUUCAAUACCAAAAAUAUAGGUGGCCUUACCUAAAUCUUUAAUUUUAAAAUUUUAGAAAAGAAAUUUUUUAGUAUUAUGUAAGAGCCUAAAUCAUUACUGACAAGCAAAAUAUCAUCAAUAUAAAGGAUUAAGAAAAUUAUUUUACUCCGACUAACUUUCAGAUAAAUAUAUUAAUUAAUAUUAUUUUUCUUAAAACCAAAGAUCAAGAUGGUUUGUUUAAACUUUUAGUACCAUUAUCGAGAGGCAUGUUUUAGUCAAUAUAUUGAUUUAUUUAGUUUGCAUACCAAGUGCUCCUUUUUCUUUUGUGAUAAUCCAUCAGGCUGACUCAUAUAUACCUCUUUAGAGAUCCCUAUUUAAAAAAGUAGUUUUAAUAUCUAUCUGAUAUAGCUCGAGAUCGAAAUGAGCAACCAGAGUUAUAAUAACACGAAAAGAUUUUUUUAUGUAUAUUGAAAAGAAAGUCUUUUUUAUAGUCAAUACCUUCUUUCUAACUAAAUCCUUUUGCCACAAGAUUGACCUUAUAUCUCUCUAUAUUAUCCUUAGAGUCCUAUUUGGUUUUAUUAACCCACUUGCAUUCUACGGGUUUAACUCCUGUAGGUAACUCAACAAGAUUCCAUACCUUAGGGCCUGUUUGUUUGGGUGAAAGUAGAGAUGGGUGAAGUCGUUUUCGGUUGUAAAUGAUCACUUCCGCUGUUUGUUUUGCCGUAAUAAAGAUACGGUUGAAACUGGAGUUACUCGAAACAGCGUAAUUGACUUCGGCCCAUCCCGGGCCACACUACAACAAAAACAGUGUAUAGCGACAUUUUUAAAUGUUGGUACAGGUCAAAAAAAGUGCUACUGGCUAAAUUACCGACACUUUUAAAAAGUGUUAUUGUCUGCCACCACGAAUGACGCACCUCGCACGGUCGAUGGAUUUUUCGGGGCCGUGGGGUAGUAUUCAUGAUUCAGAUGAGUAUUUAUAUGUAUGUGUGGGUAUCAGGUUUUGCGAGUCCAUGGCUUCCAAUAGAUGCAAGCAUCUACUGUUAAUUACCCCCUUGAGAUUGGGGCACCUUCGAUUAAGAGACCUUUAUAGAUUGGAUGAGAUGGAUCGUAUCUCGGUUUAUUGAAUCCUAAGUAUAUAUAUUAGGAUUCAGUUGGAUUUGAGGUUGAUUAGGCCCUAAGUAUAUGUAUUAAGACCUGAUCGAUAUUAAACUCUAUGUAUUUAGAGUCUAAUUGGUUCAUGAGAUAUGGGUAUGAGAUCUGGGUAUUCGUUCAUGGGAUUUGGGUAUUAGUUUAUGAGAUUUGGGUAUUGGUUCAUAGGAUAUGGGUAUUAGGUUGGAUGUAUGGUUCAUGGAAUUUAGUCCAUGAGGUUUGGUGUAUGGUUUAUGGGGUUUGGUCCAUGAGGUUUAGUUGUGGUUCAUGGAAUUUGGUCCAUGAGGUUUGGUUGGUUCAUGGGAUUUGGUCCAUGAAAUUUGGUUUUGGUUCAUGGGAUUUGGUUCAUGAACUUGGUUUUGGUUCAUGGGAUUUGGUCCAUGAGAUUUGGUUUUGGUUUUAUGUGUGGACUUGGUUUGGAUUUAUUUGGGUUCAAGUUUGGGUUCUGGUUUUAUUUGUGGACUUGAGUUUGGAUUUAUUUGGGUUUGGAUUUUGGUCUUAUUUGUGGACUUGGUUCAGGUUGGGUUUGGAUUUGAUUUGGGUUUGGGUUUUGGUUUUAUGUGUGGACUUGGGUUUGGAUUUUAUUUGGGUUUGGAUUUUGGUUUUAUGUGUGGAAUGGGUUCGGAUUUUAUUUGUGGAUUUGAUUUGGGUUGGGUUUGCGUUUGAUUGGGGUUUGGGUUUUGGUUUUAUUUGGGGAAUGGGUUUGGAUUUUAUUUGUGGACUUGGUUUGGUUUCGGUUUAUUUUGGUUUUGGGUUGGAUGUUUAUUUGGACUUGGUUUGGUUAGCUUUGGGCCGUUUGGCUUUGUAUGUGGACUUGGUUUGAUUUGGGUUUAUUUGGGUUUUGGGUUUUGGUUUGGAUGCUUAUUUGGACUUGGUUUGGUUAGGUUUGGCUUUGUAUGUGGACUUGGUUUGGUUUGGGUUUAUUUGGGUUUUGGGUUUGGUUUGGGUUUGGACUUGAUUUGAUUUAGGUUUGUAGGUGAACUUGAUUUGCAAUUUGGGUUCGCAUAUGAACUUAAUUUGCGAUUUGGGUUCGCAUAUGAACUUAAUUUGCAGUUUAAGUUUGUGUAUAGACUUGAUUUGCAAUUUGAUUUGGGGUCCGAAGAAAUCCCCUUUUGAUUUUGCAAUUUGAUUUGGGGUCCGAAGAAAUCCCCUGUUGAUUUUGUAAUUUAAUUUGGGGUCCGAAGAAAACCCCUAUUGAUUUUGCAAUUUAAUUUGGGGUCCGAAGAAAUCCCCUAUUGAUUUUGCAAUUGAAUUUGGGGUCCGAAGAAAUCCCCGUUUGAUUUGAAUUUGAAUUUGAUCUUCAAAUUUGAUUUGGUUUGGGGUCCGAAGAAAUCCCCGUUUGGUUCUAAUUUGGGGUCCGAAGAAAUCCCCGUUUUGAUUCCAAUUCGGGGUCCGAAGAAAUCCCCUUUUGAUUUUGAUUUGGGGUCCGAAGAAACGAGGAAUCAAAGAUUCCCCUCCCCUCUUCUUGCGAUGCUGCGGAUGACGUCGACGAAGUUGAUGACGGUGGCGUGGAUCUGUUCGGCCAUCGGAUUUGAUUUGACAUUUUCGAAUAAGUAUUGAAGGGUCCGAAGAAACGGGGAAUCAAAGAUUCCCCUCCCCUCUUCUUUCGAAAAUAUCAAACCGNUGGGGUCCGAAGAAAUUCUUUUUUGAUUCUAAUUUAAUUUGGAGUCCGAAGAAAUCCCCUUUUUAAUUCUAGUUUGUUUUGGGGUCCAAAGAAAUCCCCUUAUUGAUUCUAAUUUGAUUUGGGGUCCGAAGAAAUUUCCAUUUUGAUCUUGAUUUUGGGUCCGAAGAAAUCCCCUUAUUGAUUCUAAUUUGAUUUGGGUUCCGAAGAAAUUUCCGUUUUGAUCUUCAUUUGGGGUCCGAAGAAAUCCCCGUUUGAUUCAUGAUUUGGGGUCCGAAGAAAUCCCCGUUUGAUUUAUGAUUUGGCGUCCGAAGAAAUCCCCGUUUGAUUUUUGAUUUGAUUUGGAUCUAAGCUGGUCUGAAAGUUUCGUGAAUUGAUUCAAUGUUCUCGGAAAAGAUUGAAGGGUCCGAAAAAAUAGGAAAUCUUUGAUUCCCCUCCCCUCUUCUUUCGAAAACACUAAACCGGUGAUGCUGGAGAUGACGUCGGUGAAGAUGAUGACGGUGGCGCGGAUCUGUUCGGCCAUCGAAUUUGAUUUGACAUUUUCGAAAGAUGUUGAAGGGUCCGAAGAAACGGGAAUCGGAGAUUCCCCUUCCCUCUUCUUUUGAAAACACCGAACCGGCGAUGCUGGAGAUGACGUCGGUGUAGAUGAUGACAGUGGCGCGGAUCUAUUCAGCUGUCGGAUUUGGUUUGACAUUUUUGAAAGAUGCUGAAGGGUCCGAAAGAAACGGGGAAUUGAAGAUUCCCCUCCCCUCUUCUUUCGAAAAUAUCAAACCGGCGAUGCUGUAGAUGUCGUUGGGGAUGGUGGCGUGGAUCUGUUCGGUCAGCCAAUUUGAUUCAAUAUUUUCAAAAAUGUUUUGAAGGGUCCGAAGAAACGAGGAAUCAAAGAUUCCCCUCCCCUCUUCUUUUCGAAAAGAUCAAAACGGCGAUUGUAGACGUCGUCGACGGAGUUGUUAACAGUGGCAUGGAUCUGUUCGGCCAGCAAAUUUGAUUCGAUAUUUAUCGAAGAAAUGUUGAAGGGUCCGAAGAAACAGGGAAUCAAAGAUUCCCCUCCCCUCUUCUUUCGAAAGUAUCAAACCAAACAUGCUGGAGAUGGUCGCGGCAAUGUAGAUCAUCCAUUCCAUCAUCAACGACUUCGAAUGGGGUAUUGAGAGGUCCGAAGAAACGGGGAAUCAAAGAUUCCCCUCCACUCUCCCACCGAAGCCAUCUAGAUGAUAUGGAUGGCUACGAUCGUCGGACAAAAGAAAAAAAAAAAAAGAGGGGGAAGAAAAGAGAUCUUUUUUUUGUUUUAUUAUUAUUUUUACUUUCUUUCUUUUUUCUUUCUUUUUUACUACCUGCUGAUGGAUUCGAUGAAGCGGCUCAACGAUCUCUCUCUCUUUCUGCGGCUCGGCGAUUUCUCCUUCUUUCCACGGCUUGAGUGAUAUCUCCUCCUUUCCUCGGCUCGGCAAUGUAUCCUCCUUUCAGCAGCUCGGCAAUAUCUCCUCCUUUGAAUAUUUUGAACUUGGAAGUGUGUAGCAAUCUAUCUAUCGUGUCGUCUCUCUCCAAAAAAUUUCUCCCCGAAUUUGAUUUCGGUUCCCAUAUUUAUAAUGGGAAGGGAGGAGUUAGUUAAGAAUUCAAAAUUCGAAAUUCGAAUUUUGAAUUAUUUGUUGGAUGGUUGGAGGAUAUUUGGGGGGUGGUUGGGAGUUCAAAAUUCGAAUUCGAAAUCGAAUGAGUUGUUGGAUAGUUGGAAGAUAUUUUGGGAGUUGGUUAGGGAAUUCAAAAUUCGAAAUCGAAUUUUGAAUGGGUUGUUGAAUGAUAUUUUGGGAAUUUGGUUGGGAAUUCGAAAUUCGAAAUCGAAUUUCGAAUAGGUUGUUGGAUGAUGUUUUGGGAAAUGGCUGAAAAUUCGAAAUUCGAAAUCGAAUUUUGAAUGGGUUGUUGGAUGAUGUUUUGAGAAUUGGUUGAGAAUUCGAAAUUCGAAAUCGAAUUUCGAAUGGGUUGUUGGAGGAUGUUUUGGGAAUUGGUUGAGAAUUCGAAAUUCGAAUCGAAUUUCGAAUGUGUUGUUGGAUGAUAUUUUGGGAAUUUCAAAUUCGAAUUUUGAAUGGAUUAUUGGAGGAUAUUUUGGUAAUUUGUUGGGGGUUCAAAAUUCAAAAUUCGAAUUUUGAAUGGAUUAUUAGAUGGUAUUUUGGGAAUUCAAAAUUCGAAAUUCGAAUUUUGAAUGGAUUAUUAUUUGAAAUCGGAUUUCGACUAGAAACUUUAUAAGGUGUGGGUGUGGGCCGUCGUUGAUCAGACCCACCUUAAUUUAUUGGGUUCAAAUGAUAAUGAGCUGAAAUAAAGGCCCACCCUCACUUUUUUUUUUUAUUUAUUUUUUUUUUUUUAUUUAUUUGUUUGGGCUUUCGUAAUGGCUCACCCACUCACAUUUUUUUUUUAUUUGUUUGGGCUUUCGUAAAGGCCCACCUACUCACAUUUUUAAAUGGGCUUAUUGUAUAUUAUAAUUAUUGACCCGAGAAAAUUAAUGAUUAAUACGAGACCUAUUAGGAUUGUAUGAACUCGAAUCUAAUUAUUUUUUUAUUAGGAUUAGGAUUGUUUCAACCUAUAUAUAUAUAUAUAUGUAUGACAAGUAUUAUUUUACCUCAAACAGUUAUUAUAUGUGGGGUCGCUAGGUAUAUAGUGGCAGUUUAAGAGUGUCGGUAUAACCUAAAAAGAGUACUGCUAAUUUACCAACACUUAUUUAAGUAUUUAGCAACCGCCGAGCCUCUACCUCGUUGGCUGCGGUAGCGGAGGAGGAGGAGACCGAAGAGCUCUUCGUCUAGGGUUUCAGUAGAUUGAGUGAGGGGAGAAGGAGAUAUGGUGAUCAAUUUUUCCUUUUUUGUUUGUAAUCGGGCCGAAUGGGCUGGGUGAGGUGAGUUGAAUAGAGUAAGCUUUUAUUUUGGUUGGAUUGGACUUUAUAUUUAGGCCUUAGUAAAUUUUUUUUUAAAAGUUUUGUCAUAAAUGAGACAUUUACCCAAAAUUGUUUCAAACAUAUGUUCCUAUAAUUUAAUUCUAUUGUAGUGCCGUUGGAUUAAGGAAUCAAGGAUAUAUACUAAUGUGGUAAGUAGUAAUAAAAAGAAACAAAAGUCGAACCAAAUUUGCACCAUAUCUACCAUUAUUCCAUUACCUCUAAUUAGUACAUUUUUCCAAAGGAAAAAAGAAUUAAAGGCAUACUUAUUUUUGUAUUCUAAUUUUUUGUUUUGAGAAUUAAGUUUGUAUCUAUUAAUUAUGAUUUUUAAUAUGUAAGCUUACAAAUUAUCUAAUUAUGUAUUGUUCCCAACAUACCAAGAUCUGUGGAACCACCAACUGUACUUCUAGAGCAAGUGGCAAAGGACUUGAUGGUUGGUAUUUGAGAACCAAGUUCGAAUCUUAGUUGAUUCAUAUUUCUAGCUAAAUUUAUUUCUAAAUAUAACAAAUGAAACGGAUAGUGUGCUAUCUAUCUCAAAAAAAAAAAAAAAAAAAAAAAAAAUCUGUCGAACCACGGCUAUCACUGCUAUUGCUAUAGAGCGAAUCCAUUAUGAGAUACUCGAAUAGCAUUUCACCUAAAACUAAUACCGCACCAUACAGUGCGACUAAAUGGGCCACGUAUGCUCCCACUGAUCUUAAGCGCCUCAACACCUGUUUGGUAUUUUUUUUUUUCUAUUUUAAUCACACAGAAAGUGCGAAAAAGACAUGCAAUUAAUCUAUUAUUUAUUCUCAAAUAACACACCGUUACUAAGCCUUAUCUAAGUAUUACAUUAUUCUAGUGAAAUAAAAACUCAAAAAUUUAGAACAAACAAGAGUUACAAAACUGCAAUUCUUGAAACCUUAGCACUUUAUGGAAAUAAACAGUACUCCGUACCUUACAUAAACAACAUAGACAUCACAACCUUAAUUGAUUAGUACGCAGAUCCUAAUUAAUAUUUUUCCUCUCUCUUUCCAAUCUGAGUUGGUAAGCCUCCUUUCAUUUUGAGCGACAGUGAGAAUUCAUGCUCAGGAGCGCUCUUCUUUCCCACAACACUAAGCUGAAACCUUUCAAGCAAACAAGCCGCAAUGGACUUCAUCUGUAUAUAAGCCAUCUCCUUCCCCAAGCACAUUCUCGGUCCGGCAUGAAACACCGGGUAACGGAACGGGUUCUCUGGCCGGAAAACCCCAUUUUCCAACCACCUCUCCGGCUUGUACUCUUCGCAAUUCUCCCCCCAUAUUUCCUUCGAUCUUCCCAUAGCAUAAGCAUUGUAUGUUACAAACCAUCCUUUCCCCACGAACGUUCCGUCCGGCAGCGUAUCGUCCUUUUUGCAUGAUUGCCUAUCAAUAGGCACAGGAGGGUAUAAUCUCAUCGUCUCCGAUAUCGCAGCAUGCAAGUAGUGCAUCUCUCGUAGCUCGUCAAAGCUGAACAUCUCGCUCGAAUUCGAAUUCAUUUCUCGGACUGUUCUAAUCUCUUCUACAAUCUUUUUUUCAACAUCGGGUCUCGUAGAUACAAUCCAGAAGAACCAUGUCAGUGCCGACGAAGUAGUCUCGCGGCCAGCAACAAGGAAAUUUAUCACGUUAUCGCGAAGGAGCUCUUCUGAGUGGUCUUCAUACGAUGCAAAUCGGGACAGGAGAUCGCUCUUCCGAUCCAAAGGCCUCUCCUUUCGUGACCGAAUAAUGUCAAGAGCAUAGUUGUGGACGAUCGAGAUCCCUUCUUUUAUGCGCUGCUCCGAUCCGAUAUUGAGUAGCUUCUUGAUCCUCCAUGUCACAUUCAGUGCAUCCAAGAGCCGCCAUCCGAUGAGGUACUGCGUUUCUCCGAAAGCCCGCAUGAAGUCAGAGCUCGUGCCAGCAAAGCCUUCUUCAGUGAGGGAAGCGGGAUCAGCAUCGAAGGCCACCUUGCAGAUGUUAUCGAAACCAAAACGUUCGAGAACGUCCUGCAUCUCGACGAUCUCUUCUCUUUCUUCCGCUUUGUUCAACAACGGCAACAAUCUGUGCUGUAUCUCAAAUUGCACUGCAUCCACCACGAAGUUACGGAGGGAUUUCGUAUUGAAUUCGUGGCUCGCCACUUUUCUCUGCUGCUUCCAAUGCUCCCCAUCAGAGUUAAAGAUUCCACGGCCAAAAAAGUCUUCGAACAAGGCGAGCGAGCGCUCGCCCUUCGGGUAGUUUUUGAAGUUGAUUUUCAGCAUGUGCUCCACAUUUGCGGGGUUGGCGGUGAUGACGCCGCUGGCCUGCCCGAGGCUUCGGAAGACCAUCGUGCGCGUCGGGCUUGCGAGGAGGAUUUCGGUCGUCCAUUCGAGGAACCGGUGGCGGUUCUUGAUGAACUGCGGGAGGUAGCCGAGAAUUGGGUAGGGUUUUAGGCCGUAGGCGGUGGGUUUUCGUGGUUGGUCUUGACGGAAGAAGAUGUAGAGGAAGAAGGGGAGAAGGAAGAGAAGAACUAGCAGUUGGAGAGUGAAGAGCUCCAUAUCUACUAUCUCACUGCAUUCAGCUAGCGAACAAACACUUGGUAGGAAAACGAAGAAUAAUACAUGGUUUAUAUAAUGCGUUUCAUCGGCUAGCUUUUUUAUUUUAUUUUUUAUUUAGGACCCCAACAACAGGCAAUUUUGAAUUGGUCCCCUUAUGGUUGAGCCCUUGUCUUGUCUUUCUCUUUCUUUUUCUUUGUUUUCGUUUCCUUCUCAAGUGUAUGUUGUGGAAUUUACAGCCCACCUAUAGUUUGGUUUAGAUAGCUGUGUAAUUAGAUAUAUUUUAUAUUUUAGAUUAGGUUGAUUUAAUUGACCAUUAAUCCUUUAGAUUAGAUAGCGGUUGGGUGGGAAAGGAGUUUACGGUAUGUUUUUUUUUUAUUAUUCUAUUAUGGUUUGGUUCGAAAAUAAGUUAUUCUUAUUUAUUUCAACAUGAAUUGUGUUGUUCAAAAUUAAAAUUUUUUAUUAAUUAAUUUAUAAAUAAUAAUAAUAAUAAUGAAAUAUUGCUAAUUAAUAACUAGGAGCGUAUUUAAUCUAGAUGGAGGUUGAUUUUCGUGGAUAUCAGCUAUCAAGCUCUUUACCCCUUACACUAAAGACGGACGGUAGGUAAUUCAAUCAGGAUUUAUUAAUCAUAGAAAAAGAAGGCUAAGAAAACUUGUGUAGGCCUCCGCUACAACUUAAAAAAAUUAAUUUGUAACCACCUUGGGCAGCAAGGAAAAUCCUUGGGCACCAAGGAAAAUGCUUACUUGGGCACCAAGUACAUGUGUCCAACUCGUGGCCCCAUCUCCGAUUCUCCGCAGCCAUCACCCUUCAACAUUGAACAUUAAUUGCACUACAAAAAAUAGCAAAGUAGGAACAGAAAUCAGAAGCUGAAAAAAUAAAUAAAAAGAAAUGGUUAAAUAAUGAAUGAAGACCCCUUCGCCUAUUGUCCACCGUGAAAUUAGUCCCUCAACAUAAUAUUUUGUUUUUUUUUUUUUCUAUUUUGAAUUUUUUUAAUUGAAUUUUUUUUAUCAAAUAACUUUAAUAUGAUAUAUUUAGCUAUGAAUCCAUCAAAUUUAAUAGUUUUAGCUACUUUCUAGAACAUAAUUCUAUUUUUUUUUAUUUUCGAUUUUUGAAUGUUAAAUAUUUGAAUUUCUUCUAAAUUGUCACGCCCCAAGUCCCGUCAAUUUAGACCACUAGGAAUAUAUAUGCAACAGACCCGCUGGACAGGUAAAUUUUUUUUCUACCUGCACAAAGCGAAAACAUAAGCCAAUCUGUAUAACACACAUGAUAUAGAUAUAUAAACUAUCAGAGUAUGAAGCUACUAAACUGAACUAAAAGUUUACAAUGCUUGACUUCCCGAAAUAUUAUAUUAUUUUGUUUAUACAAAAAGGGCACUUUUUUCUAGACCAGCUAACCAUGAUCUAUUUAGCUCACGAUGGUCUUUGCCGUCAUCCCAUGCUGCGCCGGCAAAAGAAAGCUAUGAAAAGGUGUAAAUAACAACGCGAUGAAAACUUUAAAUAAAUUUUUAUUGGGUGCAACUGCCAAAAGUAAUACUCUACACUCACUUGGUUCAAAAGAGGCAUUAGUAGAUAAUAACGAUAACUGGAAUAACUAUGCAAGAGAAAGUGUUAUAACUACUAUGCCUCAAAUACAUAUACAAUUAAUAUGUGAUAAUGACCAUAAAGUUUUCAAUAAUACACAAUAAAGUUUGGAAUAUAAAAAAUCCGUUCAUGAAAUAUGAUUAAUAUAAGUGAAGUGAGAGAUCGUUAGGAUUUCUAUAAAUAUGGCCCAAUUAAUCAUGUUCAAAUAUGGAUUUACAAUAAAUAAAGGUCAUUCUUAGUAAAUAUAGAACUACUUGAUAUAGUAUAUUUAAUCUCUUUCCCAUCUAUUUAAGUUAAGUAGAAUCCUAAUAAGACUUUGAUGAAAAGUCAAUCUGAACUCUAUAUAAAGAGGGUACUGGUCCUGCCAUCUUUUCAUAUGCAUUCUGAUGAAUAAUUACCAUCUAUUUCACACCAAACGGAAGAGUGCCUGAAAAAGAAGGGGAAACCAAAUUACUCAAGUUCAAUUGGUAACGUUUAGAUUACAGCUAAAUUUUUCACUUUCGCAGAUUGAUUAAGAAUUUCUUCUCUAUGGUGCUCUGUGAGUUAUAUUUUAUUCUGUUUAGGAUCUUGGGUAUGGGUAUGUAUUUAGUUUUCUUGCUUUUACAUACCAAUAUACAUCUAUCUUCCUCCAAACUCUUUAUCUUGUACUGAGUCGUAGAACGAAUAGGUCCGGAAUAGCAACUAGAGAGGCGAAGGAAGGUGAGCACCGUACAAACUUGAUAAGCAAUUUUGCCUAAGUCCAUAAUAAUUGGUAUCAGGGUGGGUUCGAGAAAUAGGAACCAUGUCGUCAUCAAAUGCUGCCAUCGUUGACAUCGUCCCUUAGCCCAAGCGGCCCAAGCGAGGCAAGAGGAAAAAAGCCAUAGACCCAUGCGAGGGAGUUCGUUUCACUCAAGGACCACAUAGGCUUGAUGAAGGAUAUUGUUGCGAGAGUGGAAAAGCGAUAUUCUAUUCUAUCCCAACACUUAGGCCCUGUUUGGAUGCAUAGUUAAAAAACUCCAUGGAAUUUUUAUUCUAUGGUUUUGGUCUAAACGAAAUACGGAAUCCUGUAACUACAAAAAAUUUCCACAGCUUCAUUUUUAAGCUGUUUGGAUAUAUAUCAUACAAUUCCACAGUAUUUAUAAUAACUAAAUUUCUAAAAUUUUAAAAUUCAAAAUUCAAAAUUCAAAAUUUAAAAAUAAAAUUGUAAAAAUUAAAAUUCAAAAUUCAAAAUAUAAAAUUAAAAUUUAAAAUUUAAAAUUAAAAAAGUAAAUUAGAUUUUAUGUUUUAAAUUUGAAAUUUGAAAUUUGGAAUUUGAAAUUUCAAUUUUGAAAUUUGAAACUUUAAAAUUAAAAACUUAAAGUAUACCAUUUAAACUUUAAAUUUUGAAAUUUAAAAAAUCUAUAAUUAAAAUUUUAAAUUUCAAAUUUAAUAAUUUAUAAAUUUACAUAUUUAUAAAUUUAAAAUUUUAAAGUUAAGUUUAAAUUUAAAUUUUGAAGAUUGAAAAUUAAAAAUUAAUUUGAAAUUUGAAAUUUGAACUUUUUGAAAUUUGAAAUUUGAAAUUUGAAAUUUGAAAGUUGAAAGUUGAAAGUUGAAAGUUGAAAUUUGAAAUUUGAAAAUUGAAAAUUGAAAAUUGAAAUUUUAACUUUUUGAAAUUUGAAAAUUGAAAAUUGAAAAUUGAAAAUUGAAAUUUGAAAUUUGAAACUUGAAAUUUGAAGUUUUUGAAAUUUGAAAUUUGAAAUUUAAAAUUUGAAGUUUUUGAAUUUUGAAAUUUGAAAUUUAAAAUUUAAAAUUUAAAAUCAAAAUUAAAUUUGAAUUUUAAAAUUUUAAAAUUUGAAAUCUAAAAUUUUAUGUUGAAAUUUAAAAUUUAAAAAUUGAUACAUCUUUGGGAGCCCAAAAUAGUGGAAUUUUUUUUCCUUUGGUUAAAGUGGAUUGUAAGUUUACUCCAUUUUUUGGAGUAUAGUAUAACUAUGCUCCAAAAAUUACGUCAUUUUUUUUUUCUUCCAAACGCUUCAUAGGAUUAUUUUCCUACCGGCGUAGCAUAGUUUAACUAUGCUACGUUUUUAGAGGUAUCCAAACGGGGCCUUAGAGAUGAUGGAAGUAUGGGCUUCAUACCACGAAGGACCUCGCUACAGCUACCAUGAUGACCUUUCGCUGAUCACUCGAGCAGUUUCAGGAUGACCUCACUCACCACCAGAAUAAGCGAAAGGUGCUGGUGGACGACCUUGUCGCUAGGGUCGAUGCAGCCGAGGGCCUCAAGAUAUGGAUGACAAGCCUCAAAAAGGAUGUGGCUCGCGGUGUUGAGGCAUAGAAGGGGUACAUACCAAAGGUCCAUAUCCCUAAACUCUGGUGUUUCAAGGGCACGCAAGAUGAGAAGAAAUUGAUAACUUCUUAUAGCACAUAGAGCACUACCUCAAGGCAUUAUGAUUAGAGAACAAGGAAGGGAAAGUCUAAACCGCUUCCAUGUACCUCACCAACAGUGAAUAAUUCUAUGGUGGCGUCGGCAGGCGACAGAGGCUGAAAAGGGCCAAUGCGAGCUAAGGAGGACUUUUUGCACGAGCUCAAGGCACAGUUUUAACUAGAUCUUGUGAAGAGGCAACUUCGAUAGCACAAGCAUAUUAGGACACUCAACAAGUAUGUCAAGGAGUACUCUAAAUUGAUGCUAGCUACCACCAAUAUGGCCGAAGAGGAUCAACUAUUCUUCUUUUUUGAUGGGUUCCAACCAUAAGCGAACAAGGAGCUCGUAGGACAUGAUGUUAACGAUGUGAGCUUCACUAUUGCCUUAGCGGAGAAGCUACUUGAGUAUGGGAAGGAAGAUCAUACUCAUGGAAAACCACCUAAGAUGGGCAAGGCCAAAGGUGGGGGAGAUUGUUGUGAACAAAAUGACAACUAGGCAACUUCCUAGCUUUGCCGAAGGCAAUGCCGAUGCCAUACCUUGGAGUUAAGCAUCAUGGAGGAGACAGCCCCUUGCAUGGUUCCGGCUAGCCGCAUCGAUGUCACGCCCCGGGACCCAGCGGAAGCCCACCCGGCGCGUGCCCAGACCCACCAUACGUCUAAAACAUAUAAGACGUCUAAAAACAACAAUAAUAAAAGCAAUAAUAAAAGACAUCUAGGAGUAUCAGAGCAUAAUAAAUGUCUAAAUGCUACAACAAGGGAUAAGGAUAAAGCUAUAAAUCCACUACAUAAAACAUAAAGUGUUAUAAGGAAAUCUCAGAUACAAGUGCUAUAGGUAGAUACAUAGGUGGUCUCUAUACAUGGAUACAAAACCUCUCACACUCUCAACUACAAAAAGAAGGAGUAAACCACCUAGGCAAAGAACCGCUCCUCGCUAGCUAGCUAAGCAAUCCCCUUACCGCGAUCCCGUGCCUCCGCCGGUGCCGAAGGCUCUGAAAAGGAAACCAUAAAACAGGGGAGUGAGAACUAUUAAAAAUAGUUCCCAGUAGGCAAUUACUGACUUCAGUGAAUGCACUACAAGGCCCAAAGCUACAAAAGAUGUCAGUGAGAGUAACAAUAGAAAAGCGAAAGGUAAGUAAAAAUAAUGUAACCUACUACCACAUGAUAUCUCUACUUAGCGUAAUUAGCAUAAGUAUGAAGCAAUUAUGCAUGAAGUAAAAGUCUCCAACUAUCAUAAUGUUCACAAUGCGAAAUAGUAAAGUUCCGUUGUUUACUAUUCUAGUCAAUGUCCAAGUAGUACACUAAGUCAUCAUCUGUCCACAUGUCAUAGUGAAUACUCAAAGUCAAAUCUGAAGAGACCCACCCGAAGGCUGUCUAUGGCCCUGAGACCCACCCGUUGGCUGUCUGGCCGGUGCCGAGCCUAAUGGCCCCGUGGUAGUCAUCAUCCCCACCCUAGGAAUGAGCCUGUCCCACGGCAAUCCACUUCGGCGCCCAAUCCCGCACGGCGAAUAUGAAUCGCGAUGGCUAUCUCCGGACUGCCGGCUUGUAGGGAGCGACCCUCACAAGCAUGUGCGAAUGAGCACAAUGGCAAGUAGUCAAACGAUCUGUCGCAAGUACCAAGUCCUCAUGUCUAGUAACAUGGAAUGUGUCAAGUACCCCAAUGGCCUAUCCCUAUGUCAUCAUGUCUCUAACAUGGAAUGUGGCGGAUAAGUAGUGGCCUAUCAAUAUGUCUCUAUGUUGCAGUUUCAUAGUUUACUAGUUUCAAGUGCCCCUUUAUGACACUCUUGUUCUCUAUGUCAGAGCAUGGCAACUAUGUUCCAAAGUACAUAUUCCAACUCAUAAUCCUCAUAAGUGAUGUAUUUUUCACUUGCAAAUAAACACUUUUCCCAUAUGCAUGCAUUCUACUCAUAUAGCCCUACUAUAUAGUGAAAUUUUCAUAAUACACAAGACAUGCAUUUUAAGUGCUCUAAAAUUCAUAUAAAUUUCAUUUAGCAUAGAAAUGAAUUUAAAAAAUAUUUUACAACAAGUAGAAAGAGCAUAGGGGCCAUUUCGCCACAUUUUCACGAAGCCAAACCCACCAAAAUCGACUUCUUCGUUUCGCCGAACGAAGGUAUCCACAAGCUUCCUAGUACCCUAGAAACAUCAAAAAUAGGCUCACCCAAACGAAACGAAGAGCAAAUAGCUCAAUCAUUAAGCUUCUCAAGCUAGGGUUGGGAAAAACUCACCUCAAGUGAAAAACCCUCUCUUAAUCUUCAAAUGGAAGGUAGGGGUCUUCCAAUCUAACUCAUAUAAAGGUUCCAAACCAUUCAAAUGAGAUCAAGAAGCCUCAAAUCCAAAAACCCCAAAAAUAAACCCUAAAUCCCAAAAUCUAGGGUUUCAUCUAGUAAAACCUAGGAAAACAUGUAUCAAAUGGGGAUUACAAGCUACCAACCACAAGAGAAGCUCCAAUCCAAGCUCAAAACCAAGUAGGGUUGAAGUUUGAUCUACCACAAAGCUCCAAAAGUAAGCUCCAAGCCUCCAAAGGUGAGAAAUGAGGAAGAAAAUGGUGCUCCAAGGCCUCCAAGCAAGCUCCUCUCCUCUCCUUCUCCUUCUUCUCCUUUCCUUUCUCUCUCUAGAAGUGUAGGAAGAGUGUGAGGGAGAGAAAAUAAGAGUGAGAGGGGAGGAGAGGCUGCCUAUAUCCUCUAAGGUAACAAAAUCCAGCAAGGCCCCUCAAAAACUCAAAUUUACAUCAGCCCGGUCUGGGCAGUUUUCGCCUAGAGGGACCGGUCUCCCCGACGUGGGACCGGUCUCUCAGCCUGCCCCCGAAAAUCCAACGUUCGGGAACCAGUCUCUCCAUGUGCGGGACCGGUCUCUCCCCGCGCAGACGCGCUCGGGGACGGGUCUCGACUGCCAGCGACCUGUUGCCUCGCCGGCUACGCAGCACUGUUCACUGGGGGACCGGUCUCUCCUAUCAGGGACCGGUCCCCAAGAGUAAAAACUCUCAGGACUCUGCCAAAACUCUCGAGAUCGAACUUUUAGGCCGGGAUACCAUCGACGGCCCUCCACCAAGUGUGGAAAAGUUCGGAAUAUAAAUCGAACACUCAAACCUCGCAAUUUGCAAUGGUCCAGUGCGCUACAUUCACCCCUCCUAAAAAGGAUUUUCGUCCGCGAAACUCGAAAGCAAAAGCAUACCUCAAGACUCCAUCUGAAAAAGAUGGGGAUAGCGCUCCUGCAGCGCAAUCUCUAGCUCCCACGUGGCCUCCCGCUCCGCGUGGUUGCUCCAAAGAACCUUUACAUACGGAAUAUCCCGAUUCCGCAGCUUCUUCACCUCGCGAGCCAAAAUCUUCACGGGUUGCUCCUCGAAGCUCAGAUCCUCGCGCAGCUCCACUGGUAUAGUUCCCAAAACAUGAGCUGGAUCACGAAUNGGCAGUUUUCGCCCAGAGGGACCGGUCUCCCCGACCUGGGACCGGUCUCUCAGCCUGCCCCCGAAAAUCCAACGUUCGGGAACCGGUCUCUCCCUGCGCGAGACCGGUCUCUCCCCGCGCAGACGCGCUCGGGGACCGGUCUCAACUGCCAGGGACCGGUUGCCUCGCCGGCUACGCAGCACUGUUCACUGGGGGACCGGUCUCUCUUAUCAGGGACCGGUCCCCGAGAGUAAAAACUCUUAGGACUCUGCCAAAACUCUCGAGAUCGAACUUUUAGGCCGGUAUACCCUCGACGGCCCUCCACCAAGUGUGGAAAAGUUCGGAAUACACAUCGAACACUCGAAUCUCGCAAUUUGCAAAGGUCCAGUGUGCUACAAUCGAGCUAGCGGCAACCUAGACCCUCUUCAUUUUAUAAUUGCGAAAAGGGAUGGGGCAUAGCGAGAUGACUUACCUUGCGGCUAUUUGCGAGGUAAUGAUGAGGGCCUUGAGAAGGUCUUUUCGAUUGAAAUUGAUGCAGUCUUGAGGGAAUUCUAAAAUGUUAUGCCUUAGGAACUACCCAAGUGACUCCUACCUAAGUGGGAAGUGGACUAUGCGAUUGACCUCGAGUUAGAAGCCAAGCCACCAAUGACAACACCAUAUAGAAUAGUCCAGCUGAAGCUCGAGGAGUUGCAAACCAAUUGCAAGAGCUCCUCAAUUGAGCUAUAUAAGACUGCCAAAGGCACCCUAUGGAGCACCAAUACUAUUCUAACAGAAGAGCGACGAAAGACUAUGACUCUGUUUUGAUUAGAGGCCACUCAAUAAGGUAAUAGUAAAAAAUAAGUACCCUACCACUUUGGUUGCAGACUUUGACCAGCUAGGUGGGGUGAAGUAUUUCACCAAGCUCGAUCUCCACUCAGGGUAUAUCAAGUCCGAAUUGUGGAAGUAGAUGAAGAGAAGACCACAUGUGUGAUGAGGUACAUGGCCUAAGAGUUCCAUGUCAUGCCAUUCAUCCUGACAAAUGCACCGACGACCUUCUGCACUCUUAUGAACAAGCUAUUCCACCCUUAUCUCGGUCACUUCAUGGUAGUGUGCACCUCAACGUCAUCGUUGUGUAUAGCAACACAUUGAAGGAGCAUGUCGAGCAUCUAUGGACCAUCUUUCAUGUAUUGCGAGAGAACCAGCUUUUUAUUAAGAAAAAGAAGUGCUCCAUCAUGAAGAAUUAGGUACACUUCCUUGGCCAAUAGAUGGGCCAGGGGCAACUCCACAUGGACCACCGGAAGGUGUGGGCAAUCUACGAGUGGGGGACACUCAUGAUAGUGUAUGAACUGUAAUCCUUUCUCAAACUCAUCAACUACUAUCGCCGCUUCAUCGUGUGCUACUCUACACAAGUGGCUCCGUUGGCGGACCUACUAAAGAAGAACUAGGCAUGGGAUUGGACUGCUUAGUGCGCGGAGGCAUUCGAGGACCUUUAGUGGGCAAUGACGGAGGAUCCAGUACAACGACUUCUUGAUUGCAAUAGUCCAUUCAAAGUGCAUAUAGAUAUUUCGGACUUUGCCAUUGGCGAUAUUCUCAUGUAGGAUGGGCAACCCAUCACCUACAAGAGCCGUAAGCUGAAUGACAUUGAGCGGCGAUGCAUUGUUUAGGAGAAGGAAAUGAUCGUCGUGGUGCAUUCUUGAGGACUUGGCAUUACUACCUUCUCAGGAUCAAGUUCGUGGUGCAGACGAACAUUAGCACCACGAGCUACUUCCAAACCCAAAAGAAGGUAUCACCAAAGCAGGCGAGAUGACAAGACUUCUUGGCGGAGUUCGUGAAUCCCGAAGAGCAAUCCCGAAGAGCGAUCGUGAAUCCAGGUUUAUGGGCAAGUUUUGGACAAAGAUAUUUUAGAUCUUAGGGUCGGAGUCGCUCUUCUCCACCAGUGUCCACCCACAGAUGGAUGGGCAAAUAGAGCGGGUGAACACCCUAUUGAAGGAAUACCUAUGACACUUUGCGGGUUCCUACUAGAAGAACUUGGUGCACCAUAGUAAUGUGGCUCAAUUCUCUUACAAUUUGCAGCUGAGUGAGUUCACAAAUCUAAGCCCAUUCGAGCUGGCGAUAAGGAGAUAACUGACGGCCCGACACACAGUCAGCGAGUGAGGCCACAGCCCAUGGCCCUCCAAUUCACUUCAAAACUACAGAAAAGGGCGAGAUCGCCAGGGCCUAUCCAAAGAAGAAGGCCUGCCGAAUGACCAAAUGGGUUGAUGCAACGCGGCGGCCAUUGGAGUUUGCUGAAGGUUAUUGAAUCUUGGUUAAGUUCUGCAACCCCAAUAAUUCAAGGCCUUUCGCAAGAUAUACUGUGGGCUACUACAGAAGCUUACAUGUUUAGUAUGCGAUGAAAAUUGAUUAAUUAAGUUUUGUAUCUCUUUCAUUUAGUUUGCAUAUUUAAAAUAUAAAAAAAAAUUGAUUUCUUGAGUAUUAAUAUUUUUCUUACUCUAUGAUUUUAUUGUUGUAUUAUUAUAAUUUACGUAUAAAAAAUUUAGUUAAGUUGUUUCAAAUUCCUUUUAUUAAUUAUAUAGGAAUAUUAUUUAUUAUUAUAUUAUAAUUUAUUAUUUAUCUAGUUAUUUGUUAUUUAUGUAUAUAAUUAUAUUUUUAACGUCAUUCACUUCUGCCAAGAUAAUAAUAGAACUGAAGAAACUUUACUUUCAUAGCUGUAAAACCAAACAGCUUUGGAAAGAAGUAAUUUUUAUCUAAACUCUACUUUUACCACAGUUCACUUAGGCCCACCCAGGCCUAAAGUCCACUUUCGGUAAAACCAAACAGGCCUAAAACAAAGGGAAACUCAAUUUGAAGGGCGAUGGAUUCCCUCAGGGCCAUUUUGGGAAUAAAAAUGAAAGAUUUUAUAGAUUUCUUUUUCUAAAAAUGUAUGGAUAGUCCCUGCAACGCUCCAAUGUUGAAACUUACUGUCACGCCCCGGAUUCCUCGUUUCCCCGGGUACGCUAACAGACCCACCGUAUACAUAGAAAUUUUUUCUGUAUACGAAGCGAAGCUGUACAAGAACCAGAAAUCAAACACACUACAACCAGUAGUAUAGAGCUGCUAGAAAGGAAUAAAACAUAUAUAAUCACAGUGGUUCAAUACAUACAUAGUAUCCGGGUACAAAAAUACUCGCUCCAGCGAGAUACAACAUCCGUAUGUAAAGAACCAAAAACUACAACUACUUGUAGUUGGUGCUCCUCUAGCUCUGCGACUCGGCUGGAAAGGCUCUAACUCGCAACGCUUUUGCCACGAUCAGUCUCAGUAGUAGCAGCAGCCGGAACAGAAGGCUCUACAAAAGAAGGAUAACAAAUGGGCGUGAGAACUACUGCAAAAACAAGUAGUCCUAAGUGGGUACCGCCCUCAACUCAUCGGUUCACCCACCAAGUCUACAGAUGUAUGCUCAAAAGAUAGUAAGGGAACCGGAAACAAUCUACAGCUACAUGCCACUAUACUAUCAUGAUCCGACACUACUAUCUGUAGAAUAAGACAAGCUCUCACCCAAUCUCACUAGGGACUGUAAACAUACCGUCCCAGGAACUGUGAAUACACCCGUCCCGCCUGUCGAAGCUAUACAGCUACCUCCGCACUAAGCAGUCCAUGGAGAGCAAGUCCAAACAGGACACAACGACACCAACACAAACGCACAAAGUCCGACUCCGGAGUGGCACUCGUGGGCGCUACCCAACCAAGUAUGCAAGCGUAUCUCUGUCGAGCUCAAUCAGGCUCUCACAAGCUAAGAUCCAAGUAAAUAGGGUCCAACUGGUCUAACAACCAACUCACGUGCCCUCGGCAUAAUCUGAUGCAACAACAGCAAUCUAGGUCCACCGUCAACCUCAACGGCACCCGACAGUCCGGAACAGUCUAAACACUGCUGUAAAAAUAAGCUCGGCAUCUCAGCCCGAGCGUAAAUACAUUCUACACUAUUCUGAAUAUCCACCACCCCCAAACUGCGGUGAUACAAACAAACUACGGCUUCUAGAGCUAAAUCUGGUAGUUUUAACAUAUGACAGUGUAGAAACGCUAGUUUUCUCCUAAGUCAAUUCCAAGUCCAAUAUGUAUAAUUUAUCUAACUUACUACAGUAUGCUCCAAAUUUAAAUUUUAUUUAACAUACUAAUCAAUGAAUUCGAGCUAAAAAUAUGAUAUACAAUUGCUGAAAAUAUACAUGUUGACUAUGCGUACACUUAGGAGGAGAAUCCAAUGAUUAACCCACCUUAAGCGCUAAAUCCACGGCAGCGAGGAGUCGCCGGAAUUCCUGUCAGUCUCUGCCACAACCAGCAACCAAACAAAUCCAAGGUCUACACAAAAUCCACCAAAAAUCUAUCAAUACUCUAAAAAUUCAGCACUUAAGCUAAUAUCAUCCAAUUCCAAUGUCAACUUUACCUUCCAAAGCUCAAAUCAGAUGAAGGAAGGUCCCAAAACCAGUGGGCUGUGCUGGAGUAUCAAGCUUUGGUUCACAACCCAGCUCCUUCAAAGAAUUGCUCCAAGAAAAUCACAACAAACUCAUUUUCAGCUCAAACCUCCAGCAGCAGAGAAGAAUGCGAAAAUAACUGAGCUAACCUUAACCAAAUUCUGUUAAUUUAGGCUCCAUGAAUUUUUCUUAAAGUCUAGAAUCCAACAAACCAAGUUUCGUGGUAAAUGGAGCUUCCUACAUCGUACACGAGUCGAAACACCGAAGGUCGCCGCUAGAAAACUGCUAGAACUGCAGCCCUCUAGUUGAAAGUGCACAAAUUGGAGGAAUUGAAGCAAUUUGAGGUGUUAGUAGGGGUGGAACUGGGCCGGGCUUGGAUCGGGUAAUACUAUGCCCAAGCCCGGCCCAAAAAAAAAUGUUGGGCUUCGGGUCGGGCUUUUACCCAAUUUUGUAUAAGGCCUGGCCCAAGCCCAAGCCCAAUGCCCAAUACCCAUCGGGCUUUGUGAAGGCCCAUUUUAUACAUUUAUCAUAUAAUACAUAAAUACUUUUAUUUGUAUAAUAAUAUGUACCAUAUAUUUACUCAUAGAUAUGUAUAAUUAAUUAAUUAUAUAGAAUAAUACUAUUUAUUAUAUCCUAAUAUGAAACUAAAUAUUUUGUUAAUAUAUAAUAUAUCCUCAUAUAUAUAUAUAAGUAUAUACCAUUAAUAACACUAUAUACUAUAUAUGAUAUAAUAUAUAAUUUAUUCUUUUUAUAAAAAAAUAUUAUAUAUAUAUAUAUAUAUAAUUAAAUAUUUUAUUUUAAUAAUUAAUAUAUCGGGCUUUUGGGUCAGGCUCGGGCCGGGCUUGGACAUGCCCAAAUAGGCCCAAAAUUUUUUCGGGCCUAAAUUUUGAAGCCCGGCCCGAACCCAAAGUUAAAUUUUUAAUACCCAAAGCCCGGCCCAAAUAUGGCCCAUCAGGCCGGGCCUUGUUUAGGCCCGGGCCCAGUUCCACCCCUAGGUGUUAGAUACAAUUCUAAACUUCACUGUGAAGAAAGGAUGAAAAGGGUUCACUGGAGGUGUACAUAGCCUAUUUAUAGGGAGGUGAAAAGACAAGAUAAGCCCUAAGAACUCCAAACACAAAACUGCUGCCCCUGCAGAAAUCCCCACUUUCGGGCGCCCAAAACAUACAUCUGUGCGUCCAGAAAUCUCCAGGCUAUACAAAAGCUUCCCAUUGGUUCCUCCGCCGUGGUGUGCUGCGCCCAUAACCGGCUCCGGUGGACCUCACCUACCACCAGCCACGUGUCAGCGCAAACGAUACUCCCGAAGUGAAUUUUCGGACCCACUUCUGGACGCCCGAAACUAGGAUCCGAAUUGGCUUUCAGUUCUGCUCAGUUCUGCACUCAAGUUCUGGGCGAUCGAAACCUUGUUCUGGACGCCCGAAUCUGGCAAAACUCCAGUUUUGCUUAUUUGAGUGCGCCGAGUCCAUUUCUACAUCCAUUUCGUGCAGAAUUAACUCCAACUCAGUCCGACACUCUCCAGAUGUGUCGACCAGUCACUAAUACUGUAGCUAAUUCUAUUCAAACUUCUGGAACACUACACUUACAUAAAAACUAACUCUUGACGUUAACACUUCUGUUCUCAAACAUUUGAAAAUUAUAAUUGUAAUAUUUCUUCUCUAAUUUCCUUUUUUUUUUUGGUAAAUUUAUUAUUUUAUAAGCGUAUAAAAUUACCUUUUGUAUUCUAGACUCGGGUUUUCUUGAAAAUUCAACAAGAAGUAAACAAGAAAAACAAAUUCUGAGAACAAAGGCGUAAUAUCCAUAAUAAUAUCAGACGUCAAGUCUACCUCGCGUGAGUUAAACAUGACAUUUCAAUUGGGCUGAUGCAAAAAAAACCCAAUAGGCAUAAUAGGCCCAGUAGACCAAGUCGUCAGUACUUGGGUUAAAGAGUAUAUCUUUAUAGUGAUUCCAAGGGUAUGUUUGGUUGGCCAAAAGUGAAGCACCGAAAAUAAUAUUUUAAAAAGUGAUCUCAUAUCGAUUGUUUGCGUUGCGAAAAUAAAUAUAAAAGUCACUUUACAAAAGUGGACUAAUUAAGUGAAUUAUAAUUAAAUCUUAUAUUUUUUACUUCGGCUCAAAAAAUGUAAAGUGGACUGAUUAAAUGAAUUAUAAUUAAAUCUUAUAUUUUUUACUUCGGCUCAAAAAAUGUAAAGUGGACUGAUUAAAUGAAUUAUAAUUAAAUCUUAUAUUUUUUACUUCGGCUCAAAAAAUUCGAAAGUCACCAAAAUUACAAAGCUUAACUAAAAUGAUAUAUUUGGUCUUAAAUUUUAAAUUAUGAAUUAAAAUUUGAAGAAAUGUUUUUAAAUUUUAAUUAUAAAUUCAACUCGAUUUAAGUUUAAAUUUAAAUUUUAAGAAUAAAAUUUUAAAUUCCAAAUUUAAAUUUUUAAUUUAAAUUAUGAGUAUAAGUCGUUUGUUUAUAUUUUCACUUUUUUUACUAUAAUUAAAGAAUCAAAAUUAUAAAAUUAUAGUUUUCAUGUUUCACUCUAUAGCUAUCUAAAUAAUCGAAUUGAAAAGAAAAAAAAAAUGAGUUUUUUCAAUUCAGCCACUUUUGGAUAACUAAACGUCGCUCUAAUAACAAUCAAAACAGUAACCUCAGCAGCACCAAAAAGAAAUAUUCCUUACCACUCACAAACGACUGUAAAAACACACCUAUAAAGUUGCACUCAUGGCGCCCCGCAUGCAUUUUCUUUGGACUCGAAAGAGUUGAUUUAGGGGAGAAAAAAAAAAAGAUGGAAGAAACUACCAAAUGCCUUAGAACGGAUUCAUUAUUUACGCGGCCACAGAGGGAUCGAGCACGUGGCCCAUGAAUAACACCGCUUCGGUUGUGUCCUCCCUGAUCAAGAAAAAGAACGGGUGAUCAGCAACGAAGUCCGGAGGAGGACGAGGCGCCCUGCAACAACCCUCAAGCAUCAUGAAAGAAGCGGCGGCUGCUUCGGUUCCUUCCUCAUUAACUUCGAUGAAAGAUUUGUGCAAAAUCAAUGUUCGGGCGAUGGGUGAAUCGGCUAUUUCAGUCAGGCCCCCGUCCCCACAGAAGAGCAAAUGUACUCCCAUCUCUUUUAGAACUCGAGGUGCAUCCAACCCGCAAGAUAUUUUGAAUUUGGGGAUCUUCAACUCUCCCAAUUUGACCUCCCGCUUCGGGAGAUGGCGGUUUAGGAACUCGGGAUCGGAACUCAACUUAUCAAUUAAACUCCAUAGCCCAUCUCGAUCGUCGGGCAAGAAAAUAUACAUGGAAAAUUGUCUCCUAUCAUUCCCUUUUCUAUAUGGAAGCCUUUGUCUCCUAUCAUUCCGUUUUCUAUACGGAAGCCUGAGCACUUUGAAGUCAUCGAAUGAAGACAUGAACUGCAUUUCCGGAUUCGUCAUGAAGGGCACUAGCACAGAAUUUCCGUUGAGCAAGUGGAACUCACCGUCUUCCGUUCCUGAUGCGUCGAAUCUAUCAGCCCAAGCCCCUUUAAAGUAAAUAGCAUUACCGAGCACCACCCUAGUGAAUUGGUUGAUAGCUCUACCGGAAAUCAUACUCUUUGUAAGACCAUUUGUUGCCGAACUAAUCCAUGAGUUAAUUUGAUCAGUAAUUUCAUCAGCCUAAAUUAAUAGGAAAGAAAAAAAAUAUUAAUAAACAAAUACAGCAGCGUUCAGAUUGGCUUAGAAAAAAGGGGGGAAAAACCGAAUCUGCAACACUGGUUUACCUGCCAACAAUUUUACUGAUAAGUAAAAUUAGCAGCAGAAGAAAUAUUUUUGUCUUUUAAAAAAUUAAAUAAGUAUUAUUUAUUGAAGUUGAUUUGCAAAACCGAGACUAACAAAAAAAUCAAUAUAAUUCCAGCUUAAUCAAUACCCAGAAUCCUUAAUUCCUUAUCAUUCCAAAUUCAGGAUAGAUAACUAGAGGGGUGGCAAAAGGAUAAAAAUAAAAAAAAAAAAAAGAAAGAAAGAAAGAAAAAGUUCAGUUACAGAAAGAUUAGUAUGCAUGGACUGAAGUGAGAAUUUAUGGCAAGAUAUAUAACAAAACUGGAAGAGAAACAUAUUCACCACUGUUCAGCUGCCUCAAAUUCAAGAAUACUAAAAACAAAAACUUAGAAUCUUCUUCACAAUAUCAGAGGGGUUUGUUCACUGCGAACUUAAGCUGUUGGAUUGGUCUCUGCGAUUGCGAUUGCGAUUUGAUAUAGCAUCAGAACCAUUUCCAUUUCUAAUCUAGUUUCUUCUGCUUCAAUUUCAACCUAGAUUCAGUUAGAUUCAAUUCGACCUUGUUAGCGGGGGCAUGUUAAAAUAGACACCAUAUAUGGUUCUCACCAUUCCUCUACCUGCCAGACUAAUAAUCUUUUAUGUUGAUCCGAUCCCCCUAAGACAUGCAUAUUCAAGCUAAAACCCCACAGAAACCCUAAUAACUCGAGAAACGAACAACAAAAAGAAAAAGAAAAAGGAAAAGGAAAAAGAAAAAAGGAACAAAAAUCAUAGAGCAUGGAUUCGAACCUUGGUUUGGAAAUCGACGGAUUGGAUCUCCGCCUUGUAAGCGGAGGCGGCGAUCUCCGCGAACGCGGCCUGGAGGGAGAGGGAGGCGUCGACCCACACCCCGUUCGCGAAGGAGACGCGGGGCCCACCGCCGGCGGAGGCGUCGGCUAGGACGCGGCCGACGACGCGGGCGGCGAGGGUGGCGACGUCGUCAGCGGUGGCGCCGGGGCAGAGCACGGCGAGGAGCUCGUCGAGGGCGGGGCCUCGCGUCCCCGCCGCGGCGAGGCUGAGGAGCGCGUGCAGGGAGAGCGGCGAGAACGCGAAGUUGGCGCCCUUCUUCGACUCGGCGGCGGCCACGCGCUGCGCGAGGCGCAGGGCGAACGCGGUUUGGUGGGCGACGAACUCGCUCAGGCUCAUCGCGCGAAUCGCCUUCUUCGGGGCGAAGCGCGUUUCCGGAAGCGGCGGCGGAGGAGGAGAAGAUGCUAAGCGUCUCGUACUCAUCAGCACACGAGGACGGAGGGAGGAGGAAAGAGACGAGACGAAAGAGCGCGACGCGGAGAACCUGCCUCCUUUCAAAGAGAGAGAGAGGGGUCCAAAACACACAAGAAAAAAAAUUAAUGCGCACUCGCGGCUGAUUAUUUUUAGAGCGAAAAUAUAAAGUAGGGGACCGGUAAUUUUGUUGAUCAUUCCCCUGCCGAAAUCACAGCGAUUCUCAUUUUCCAAAUAUCUGCUUCAAAAUUUUUUUCUUUUUUUUCAGAAACAAAUUUAUUUUAAAAUUUGAAAGGAAAAAUUACUAAUUGUACGUAAUACUGAUCUGACGGUUAAUUUGCAUCUCGCCAAGUUGUAUAGUUUCAGCUCUAUCCUUAUUCUGGUGGACAAAACUGGGCGCCCAAGCUUUACCUUUUCUGUUUAUUUCCAGAGCUACGUGCUCAUCUCCACUUUUUUGAAUUUUUUUAUAAAAUAGUUUUUUAAAAUUUUAUUAUUUGUGAAACAAUUCUGUUAAAAUAGUAUUUAAUUACUAUUAAUAUAAUAAUAUAAAAUAAUAAAAAUUAUUAUGUGAUGAUAAAAAAAAAUAUUCUAAUUAAUAUUAUAUUUUUUUUAACAAAUAAAGAAAUAUACUAUCGAUCUUAUUUGUAAUAAUACAUAUUAAAGUACAAAAGUUAGAGAAACAAAAUUAUGGGCCAAAAUAAAUGCUGAGGUAAAGAGCAAAAUUCAACACUGCUCUAUUAUCUAGUUAAUUGGUAUAAUUUGUUAAUUGGUAUAAUUUGAUUUAAUUUGAUUUAAUAGUGUUUCCUAAUAAAAUUGUUAUUCUAUAUUUGAGCAUAAUUAUAAUAAUAGCGUUUAAUAGUGUUCCCUACUAAAAUUCUAGUUAAUUGUAUAUAUAAUUAUAUUUAAUCGGUAUAAUUUGAUUUAAUUUGAUUUAAUAGUAUUUCUUAAUAAAAUUCUUGUUAAUUGUAUAUAUAAUUAUAUUUAAUUGGUAUAAUUUAAUUUAAUUUGAUUUUAUAUUUAAUUGGUGUAAUUUGUUAAUUGGUAUAAUUUGAAUUAAUUUGAUCUAAUAGUGUUUCCUAAUAAAGUUGUUAUUCUAUAUUUGAGUAUAAUUAUAAUAAUAGUGUUUAAUAGUGUUUCCUAAUAAAAUUGAUAUUCUUUUUUUGAGUUUGACACGUGACAAGCAUAUGAAAGACACGUGGCAGUUUUACACAAAGGGUUCUACUUUAGUAUAUAGUAAAUAGAUAGAUUAUAUUUGAAAAACUAAUCUUUUUUUUUGCCGGAGGGAGCAAUUUUUUUAAAAACAGUGAAUGAUUCACCGACUUCAUAAAGACGGUGAAAGAUUCACCGCCUUCCUAAUUUCUCACAAAAAUAGUGAAUCAUUCACCGUCUUUCACUUAUUUACUAUUUCUUUUUAUAUCUCAUAUAUAAUCCUAACAAACACAUAAUAUUUCAACAAAUUAUAUAUAAUUUUAACAAUCUGAAAAUUCUAAUAAUUUAUCCAUACAAUUCUAACAUUCAAAAAAAUCCUACUAAUCUAUCCAUACAAUUUUAAUAAUCAAAUAUCACAUAUAAUCUUAACAACUUUGAAAAUCCUAAUAAUCUAUCCAUCCAAUCCUAAUUAACAAUCAAAAAAAUUUUAAUAAUCUAUCCAUAUAAUGCUAACAAUCAAAGAAUUCUAAUAUUCCACAUACAAUCUUAGCAACCUUACUCUUUUUUUUUCUAUUUCCCGUACUAUAAUAUAUGUAUAAUUUUAACAACCUUAUUUUUUUCUUUUUUCUAAAAAAAUUAUGAAGAAGACGUUUCACCGUUUUAAUGAAUAGGGGUGGUAUUUAAAGUUUU
rnacentral:lncRNA from 1 species